rnacentral:lncRNA from 1 species
UUUAAGGCAUGGAUACGAUGGAUUCAAGAUAAACCACUAGAACUGAUCGACAAAACGUUUUGUGAUUCAUGCAACAUAUCUGAAGUGGUAAGGUGUCUUCAUGUGGGGCUGUUAUGUGUGCAAAGAGUACCUGAGAAUAGACCAAGCAUGUCAUCUGUGGUUCUGAUGUUGAGCAGUGAUGUUGCCUUGCCACCUCCAAAGCAGCCUGGUUUCUACACUGAACGAAGCGUCAAUGAAUCACCAUCAAAGACACUUCUAUGUUCAGAAAAUACUUUCAGCACUACAUGGAUAGAACCUCGGUAGAUCAUCAUUGCGGUGCUUGUUAGUCCUUCAAUCAACCAUCACAAAACGUGUUCGGAAGGUUGACGUGAAGCUUAUAGCCUUAGCUGGGAAACAAUGAGACCUGCGAUUGUAACUCUGCAAGAAAAAUAUUUAUGAUUACAAGUUUAUCAGUUCCUAAAUCAGAACAAAGAAAGCACUUGGGGUUGUUAGAUGAUUGAAGAAAAAUUAAGUUAUAGCUAAAGUUGUGUUUAUUAUUUAUUGAUUUUAUUUUAUUAUUUCAUGAUAAGAUAAAAUUUAUUGAGAAGGAAAGUAGAUCCUGGUUCGGAUAUUUGAUCAAGUCACCGGAAUUAACACUCUAAGCCUGGUUCGAGAUAGGUGUUUGUCAUUUAAGUUUCUUUGGCAAUCCUCUAUUGGUAGAAAAACUUCAGUGCAGGCAUUUGGACCGCGUGACCAUCGUCCCGCAAACACAAACAUCACGCUAAAGUGAGGCAGCCGUACUGAAGUUUCUCUCCACCGUCUAUUCAAGCAUUUUCAGCGCCUGUUCGGUCUGCCCAUUAUUCAAGCACCCACCAAUAACAGCAUUCCAUGAAGCACCAUCCAAUUUAACAUCUACCCUUCUCAUCCUACAAAUUAAAGUUACACCUUUUUGUUUUGAAGCAAGAAAAAAUAUAUAUUAAAAGGUAAACCCCCAAGAACAACCGUUCCCUAUAUAAUCAAACGGAAGAGCAUGAAGAGCAAAUGAAGGAAUAUGGGAUGAUCCCAAAUAUGACAAUUAGUAAUAAGAAGGCCUUGGUGAUCAAAGGCAUCCGCCACAAAGUUAGCCUCUCUAAAAAUAUGUUUCCAAUCAAUGCAAUCAAAUUUGGUUGCCAUCCACUUGAUAUCUUCAAUAAUAGGAACCAGAUUCCACGGUGUCAUAUCCUGGUCCAACACUGACUGAAUGACCAACUUAGAGUCUCCUUCUACCAUAAUCUUUGUAUAGCCCUUCCCUUGAGCAUAAAGAAGGCCCUCUCUGAGAGCCCUAUCAAGAUUUAGAAAUAGUGGCACCAUCAAGAUUUAAAGCUCCACCGCCGAUGAGUUGCCCAAUAUGAUUCUUUAAGACAAAUCCCCCCCCCCCCGGGAACCUUGUCCCCAGCCACUGAGCCAUAAAAAAUUUAGCUUAACAUAACUCUGAUCUGGAGGGUGCCAUUUAAUAAUCAUGGAAAUAUCAUCAGUAUUUCUACUUAAACCCUUACAAUUGGCUUUAAGAUAUCGCUCACCCAUAAAUAUAGCCAGUAAAGUUUACACCCUUUAUGUUAUCUCUGUUCGAAAAAUACGCAGUUAGAAGUACAUUCCAGGACGCGACAUCUCGUUUAGACAUGUUGAUUGAGAUUUAAUAUUAAAUAACUUAUUUACCCUACUAUGCAAUGACAAUUUUGACCUUAUUAGGUUUAAAAAAUAAAUAAAUAAUUUCUAUAUACACCCCAAAUCACUUUUAAUGUAUUAUUUAUCUUCUUCAACUAUCAAAACCCUUCCGACCCUCUAUUGUUGAACAAAACCCUAACCAAUGAAACUACAAACAUGUUGAUUGAGAAAAAUUAUUUUUGACAAAUGAAACACAAAAUCAGUAUUUCCGAAGCUUCACAUGAGGUAAGACUUCAUUUUUUUUUUGUUUUAGUGAUUUUGACAACAUCAAUAAUUAUUUAUUCUUGCUUUUGUUGCAUUUCAAGCUUCUAUGUUCGUAUUCAUCUUUCAGGGAUUACAUGAAGAAUUAAACACCUAAAAUUACCAUAAAAAAUUAAAACAGACGAUAUGGGUUUUAAUGGUGGAAUUGAAAACAACCUAUAUAUGCUUUAAAUCUCAGGCGGCAUCUUUUGUCAAAAUUCUAGUCGGCAUUUUUUAUCCAAAUUAAAAGCUUUAUCAGAUUUGAGAAAUGUUGGGUGUAUGGAAAAUAUGGGGUACAUGUAGAAAAUGUAAGGUGUAUAUUGAGAAUGUGGAGUGUAAGGGUAUUAUGGGGAAGUAUGUGGGGUGUAUUAAGAUAAUUUUUAAUUGAAAAAGCAAAUCUGGGGUGCAUUAAGAUAAUUUUUAAUUGAAAAGGCAAAUGUGGGGUGUAUUAAGUAUAUAGUUCAUCUAUUUAUUAGAUGAGUGUUAAAUGACGAAAUGAAUUCCGUGUUAGUUGAUUUUUAGUAGAUUUGACAUUUAAAUAGUGACUUAAAAAAUUUACGGUUCAAACCAUUAUGUCCCAUUACAAGAUGAAUAAGAGAGACGAAAUGUAAAUAAAAAAUUUCAAACAAGAAAAUUGCAAGCAUUCUCUCUUUAAAAUUUGAACACGUGACCUCUCCAAAUAAACUAAAAACAAGAUGCUAUCAAAUGAUCUCUAGCAUAAUCUUAUGGUUUGAAUUUCAACAAUUCACCGUGGAUGUUUACUUUUGACACGUAAAACUUUGACACGUGUACAAAUACAUUAUUUAUUGUUUAAAUGGCUUUUCACAGCAGAAAUCGAUGGCUUUCUUUAUCCCGCAUACGUUCUAUUGACAAGGCCGCCAGGGAUUUUUCCGAAAUUGUAGAUUUGUGAAAACCUAGUUCAGUUUGGUUGCUUACAAGUUGUAGAUAUCAGUUUAGAGGGAAGGGUUGAGGUUGGUCAUGUAUCUGAUUGAUCUGAGUUGAUCUCAAAACUUAGGUCAAAUUUGUCAAGAAGAUCGACUGCUUGGGCGAUAUUGUGACAUGGUUUUAUACUUAAUAGUCUGAAUUAUAUGCUGGACAGACAUGAACAGGGACUUGUUUGACACCUCCAGUGCAGCAGUGCUUACGUUCGUACGCCUCGUCUCCUAGGCCUUUGAAAACCCGAUACCCUAUCUUCAGAAAAAACAUCAUCAUGCUUAUUUACGAGGCAAAGAAAUUAAACGAGUAAAAGUUUGAAACGGAUCUCUGAGUUUUGUUCUUCAAGUGGUACCAACAUGUAGUUUGAAACACAUCUCAGAACAGCUGUUAGACUUAAUUUACGGAACAAAACUGAAGAAUGCAAGUUCUCUCCAGAGUUAAAGCCUCUCAUAAAAUAAUUAGCUUCAAGUAAAUAAAGUAAGAGUCUAGAGCAAAACUUCUUUGUCUUGAACUUGUUCAAUGCUGCCCAGUUCCAAAGCCUGAAUAUAUAUGUCAAUGGUCAUAAGGAAUGCAUCUCCUAUUGUUUCCUUUCUUCCCUCAUCGAUCGAUCUACACCAUACGAUUGAACAGCCUGCCGGAAUUGAGUUUCCAAAACUUCUUGGCCCUAGAGACGACUUGGCCAUAAUCUUGCUUGCUUUUCUCUCCUGUCACAGUAUUUCCGUUUUGUUUUCCUUCGUUUCUAUCCCGGUAAAUCCUCAAAGUCGUACUGCAUAACCAGUCUUUCCACUGUAUUCGGACUCACUACAUGUCUCAGGUGCAACUCUUUUAAGACUCUGGCUGCCAGUUCCAGUUCUCCUUCGUGCGCAAUCCCUUCCACAAGAAUGGUGUAGGUCAUUUCGUUAGGCAUACGCCCUUUCUCUAUCAUCAUCUCAAAAACCUGGAAGGACAAGUCUGUUCUUCGAGACUUGCAGAAACCGAGUAUAAGGGCAUUGAAAUUGUCCGUAUCAGGCCUAAGGCUGUUUUCUUCCAUUACCUUGAAAAUCUCCAUGGCCUCAUCCAGCAUACCCUCCAAACACAAUCCUCUGAUCAGAGAUGAAUACGUAUAAGAAUCUGGAGUGAAACCGUGCUUGGUCAUUUCGUACAAUAUCUGAAACGCUGGAAACGUGUUCCCUUUCCGACAUAAGCUUGUGAUUACGUUUUUGUACAACUCGUAGCUGGAGCACUUUUGUUUAUUGCAGAGGCUUUGAAUGAUAGAGAAUGCCUCUGGCACCAAACCUUCCUCACAUAGCACAGCAAUGGCAUUGAAUGUUCCCUCAUUAGGAUUACACCGCCGAUGAACCAUUUGGUCUAGACACUUGACCGCACCAUCCACUUUCCCCUCUUUGCAGAGAUGAGCAAUGAUCGGAUUGUAGCUGGCAGCAGUAGGCUUGAACCGACCUCUCUGCAUUUCGUCCAAAACUUGAAGAGCAUGUUCAGUUCUACCAUGAAGUGCAAGUGAACCAAUUAAGAUGUUAUACGUAACUAUGGAAGGGGCUCGAUCCUCUCCUUCCAUCUCAGACAAAAGCACAUUUGCCUCUUCCCACCUACCCUCGUGACACAAACUCCUUAGUACGAUGUUAUAGCUCACAACAUUUGGAUCGAACCCCAUCGAAGGCAAACUCCUAAAGAGCCGAAAUGCCUCAUCAGUCCUACCUUCCUUGCACAAACCAGUUAACAAGACAUUGUAACUGACCACAUUAGGCUUUCCACCUUUAGCAAUUAUCUCCUGCAGGAGCUUCAUGGCUUCAUUGACCCCUCUUUCCUUAUAAGCAGCUUCAAGUAAGAAAGAGUACGUAUAAACAUUCGGAACCAGACCCUUCUGUAUCAGUCUAUCCAAAAGCUGCAAGCUCUGAUUCAAGUUUCCACGAACGCAAAGCCCUCUGACGAGCGAAUUGUAGGUCACAGUAUUCGUCGGAUAUCCGUACUCCUCCAUCUUCUCUACCAGCUGCAUUGCAUACCCAAUGUUCCCUCUUUUACACAAGUAAUUCACCAAGAAAGUAUAAGAAGCUGCAUCAGGUAUAAUGCCGGAAACAACCAUCAUUUCGAUGACUCUGACCGCCUUUCGCAUCUUAUUCGCUUUGCAGAGGUCAUACAAGAGCUGAGUUGCCUGAGCCACAUCAGGCUUCUGGUCCUUCCCCACCAUAGACUCCAAAUGCACAAAGGCAUCAAUGAGUCUGAGCUCCUUACUUCUUCUGUCAUUCUUGGCAUGCCUCCAGUUGGGCAAGGCGAAAACGGUGUCUUUCGGAGAAAUCGUGAUCUGGGAAGCCGCCAAAACUCUGGAAAAUCCCUUGCUAAGGGAAAGGGGUUGGAGAUUCCUGAUGUGGGAGAAGAACCCACAAGUUUUUCUGGUGGUUUCUGGCAAUGGGUGUGCAAUUGGAGACACAUAAUUUACAAGAACCGCCAUUGACAGAGCUAAAAAUAUGCUACAAAGUUUGAAACUUUCUGCCACAGAUAACAAGAAUCAAAAUUCUGGGUUGGCUAAAUUCUCAUCAAAUGAAGAUAAACAAAUGGAUAACAGAGUGUUUUAUCAGGAUGAACACGGAUAAGAUGGACCGGAUAAUUUUAACACGAAUCAAUCAAAAAACGAGAGACGAACUAGAAACGGAGAGAGAGAGAGAGAGAGAGAGGAAAGAACCAACAGGCACACACUCGAUAUCUUCAGCCGCUGGGUUUUUUUCAGGAAUGAUUGGUUGGUCCAUUUGCCAUCCCACUGCUAAGUGCUAAACAAAAUGAAUUUCCGCUUUUCCAUUUCUAAUCUGGUAACUUGUAAAAUCAGACCCCAAAAUAUAGAUGGUAACUGGAAAAACAAAUUAAAACGUCACAAUAACGAUAAACUCGUUAACGUUACUACUAAUACUAUCACUGUCCAGUGUGAGGACCACUACGACACUUUGUUAUCCUGUGAUAUAGAUACAUAAAAAUAAUUAACCUGUGAUAUAGGUUGAUUAUAAAAAUUAAAAAUAAAAUCUAUAAAUGGGGUUUAAAGCAGGAGGAAGAACAAUAAAUAACAAAAAUUAAAAAUAAAAAGAAAUAAUCAAAGAGAUAAUUAGGAAGAAAUUUGAUUUUUAUAAUAAAUCUUAUCAUUGAAUAGAGAAUUAUUGAUAAUUAAAUAAUUAAAUUUAAGAAAUUGGACUUAUUUUAAUAAAUUGGACUAUUCCUACUAUUGGCUAAAAAAAUUGGACUUAUAUCAAGUUUUCCCUAUAAUUAUAUAGUAUGUUUAAUUACAUUAUGUUGUAUCAUUGUCAUUAGACGCUAUAAUAGUGGUUACUUAUUUUACGAAGUUGCUCUCGAGCUUGAUCAAGUGUGUGGUUUUAAUGAAUUUGUACUUCUAAUUAUAGCUAUAAAUGUGAUUUGGGUGUACUUUCACAAAUUUAGAAACUCUUGUUUUAUUCAAGAUUUAGAAAUAUAGUCUCUCCAAACUCCCUCGGACAAUGUUUGAGGCCUCUCGAGCAAUGCUCUAACCAUCGCGAGACCCCUUGAUAUGUGCUCAAGGGCUUGAGUAAAUACACUUAGCCACUUCAGUUCCAAGCAUCUUGCCACAUCAUUCAAUAACUUGGAUACCGAAAAUCACCAAAAUUUCUACAAGAACAAUCUCCAUUUUUGAAAUGGUGAAACCUCAAGGAAUCUCUAACAAUAAUCUGCAAACCAACAAUCUUGGCCAUGAACUUGAUGGCAUUACGGCAGUCCCCAAGUAUCCUUAAAUUCUUAAAUACCCGAAUCGUCGAUUCGCCAUUCAAAUUGAGUAUCCCAAACGCAACAGCAAUUUUCUCACUGUGGUUGCAAGGGAUCCCCACUUUCUCCUCUCGAUCCACAUCUUGCAGAACAAAAUCAGUGUUGGGGACAUGCCCUGCCAAUCUCAUCUUCUCACCCAUGUCAAUCAGAAACUUGUAUAUCUCCGCGCUUCGCUCGUUACUCCUAUCACCGGUAACAAAAGAGUAGACUCUAUUCUUCAGCUGAACCCAAGAACAACCCGGUGUUUUUGUGAUUCCUCCGUCUCUCAUUAACUUCCUAGUUUCUGAAGCUUCUUCCCAUCGCUUGGCGGUGACUAAAAUGUUGGACAACAGCACAUAGUUGCCACGGUUAUCUGGUUCAAUCUCGAAGAGCUUGUUAGCUGCAAUUUUUGCUAAGUCUACAUUUUUAUGAACUCUGCACGCGCCAAGCAAUGCUCCCCAAGCACCGGGAGUAGGUUCCAUUGGCAUUCUUUGUACGAACUGAUAUGCCUCUACUAGGCGACCAGCACGGCUAAGCACAUCAACCAUGCAUGAGUAAUGUGUAGACAUCGAAAUUUCAGUAAAUAAAUGUUGACCGAUAAAUCAAAGUUUCGACGCUCAUGUAUUACAUAAAUUUUACACGUAGCGUAUGUCUAAACAAAAAAUCGAAAUAAGUUGGAAAAGUCAUCAAAUAGGACACGUGUCAACACCUGGCAGAAAUGACUUAUUUCAUCUGGAAUAUUAUAUUCAAAAUUAGGCCUUGGAAAAUUCUAUAAAUAGAAGCCAAUUUCAUUCAUUUGAAGGGACCAAUUUUCAUAUAACACCUUGAAGCUCUGAAACUCUGAAACUCCGAAGCUCUCAAGCGUCCAGGUUCCCGAAGAAUCAAGAAAGCCUUCUUCGUUCUUCGUUCAUCGUUCUUCAAGAUCAAGCCCCAACGGCCCUUGAAGAAAGCGUUCUUCGUUCAUCGUUCUUCCAAGAUCAAGCCCCGAUGACCCUUGGAUUAACAAUCAUCCACCUUCAAGAUCAAGCCCCGACGGCCCUUGAAGAAAGCGUUCUUCGUUCAUCGUUCUUCCAAGAUCAAGCCCUGACGGCCCUAGGAUCAACAAUCAUCCACCUUCAAGAUCAAGCCCCGACGGCCCUUGAAGAAAACUUUCUUCGUUCAUCGUUCUUCCAAGAUCAAGCCCCGACAGCCUUUGGAUCAACAAUCAUCCAUCUUCAAGAUCAAGCCCAAAAGCCCUUGAAGAUCUGUUCAUCACUGUUCUUCAAGAUCAAGCCCAAAAGCCCUAGAAGAUCCGUUCAUCACCGUUAUUCAAGAUCAAGCCUCAACAGUCAUUGAAGAAACGCUCAUCCUCAAGAUCAAGCCCCAACAGCUCCUUGAAGAUUCGCUCAAAUCCACUUUCAAGAUCAAGCCCACGACCCUUGAAGAACGUUCAUCCUUAGAUCAAGCCCAACGGCCCUUUGGAUCAAUUGCACAUCCACAAAUACACACCUUACGGAGAUCGAGUCAGAGGAUCAAAUUAGAGAUUGUAACCCUAAAAAAUCAUCAAAUACAAAAUAUUAUUUUGUGCAUGUUGUUCUUGUCUCUUUCGUUUCAGGAAAAUUUCGUGUUUACAAAUUUGGCACACCCAGUGGGACAAUCUCUACCUCUCAUCUCUUUCUCCGUUCAAGAAAUUCAAACACACCUCAAAUUCAAUGGCAUCAAGCAAGGGACAAGCCGUUCUCGCAACCACUGAGGGAACGAUCCUAAGCAUUUUUGCCGCAAACAGACAAUCCAUUGGCGCCACAACCGCUCCUCAACAUGCCACUUCAAAAUUGGUGCCGCUAAAAGAGCAAGGGAAGCAUCAAAGGUGCGAGUCUGUCAUCAACCUGACCUCGCUGGGGGCACCGAAGCAUGCUGCUGAGGCACACAAGAUGACAUCCCAAAACAGCCAACGACAUUCUUCGUCAGCAUCCUGGAUGUCUAAAGGAAAGUCACGUCUAUUGGUUGCACAAGUCAUGACCAUCGACAUUACCUCCAUCGAAGAACAACUAGCUCAAAUGAAUGAAACGAUCGCAAGGCUAACACGGAUUGUUGAAGAAAAAGACUUGCAAAUCGCUGCACUCGUCAACCGACUGGAGCCACAGAACGGUGAGAACCCCGACCCAGAGGAUGAUCCACUAAAGAGAGGAGAUGGCGAAGAAGAGGAGCCUCAGGUGGAGAAAAUCAAUAUAAAGCCGGAGCCAGACCAAGCAGCGGCACUCAUGGGAUCUAUUUCUAUCCAGCAGUUGCAAAAGAUGAUCGCCAGCACCGUCAAGGCACAGUACGAAGGGAGCUCAAAUACCUCCGGGUUGUAUUCAAAGCCUUAUUCAAAGAAGAUUGAUGCCCUGAAGAUGUCGAGGGGAUAUCAACCACCAAAGUUCAUACAGUUUGAUGGAAAAGGAAACCCAAAGCAGCACGUUGCACAUUUCGUCGAAACUUGCAACAACGUGGGGACAGAGGGAGACUACCUCGCCAAGUAGUUUGUGCGCUCGCUGAAAGGAAACGCCUUUGAGUGGUACACGAACCUAGAGCCUGAGUCCAUCAACAAUUGGGAGCAAUUGGAAAGAGAAUUCCUUAACCACUUCUACAGCACCCGCCGCACUGUAAGCAUGCUGGAGCUCACAAGUACGAAGCAAUGGAAAGAUGAGCCGGUCAUUGACUACAUCAACAGAUGGCGCACUCUAAGAUAGGCUCUUGGAUACCUCUUCAAUCGAGAUGUGCGUCCAAGGUAUGCAAUGGGGUUUGCAAUACAUCCUUCAAGGCAUCAAACCACGGACAUUCGAAGAGCUAGCCACCCGCGCCCAUGACAUGGAGUUGAGCAUCGCCCAUCAUGGGAAGAAGGAACCGAUCGCCGACUACAAGAACGACAAAGUUCUUGAGACAAAGGUGGAGAAGGCUGCGUGGAAAUCCACCAAGGAAGCAAUGACGGUCAACACAGCUCCCGUCAAAAUCCCUACACGAGGUAAGGCGAUUCAAGCCGAAGCUUUUCGUGAUUAAAAGAUGCGUAGACGCACUUUGAAGGAGCUUGAGGAGAAGACUUAUCCAUUCCCCGACUCUGAUGUGGUUGCCAUGUUAGAAGACUUGCUGGAAAAGAAGGUGAUCGGUUUGCCUGAAUGCAGACAGCCAGAAGAGAUGAAUCCCACCGACAGUCCAAGGUACUGUAAAUUCCACCUCUUCAUCAGUCAUCAAACGAAAAAAUGCUUCGUACUGAAAGAUCUCAUCCUGAAGCUAGCACAACAAGGGAAAAUUGAGCUUGACCUCGAAAACACGGUUGCGGCACACACUACUACUAUCGUGUUUGGAUCACUCGAUCAUGUGCCUCUCCGAAGCACGCAUGACCAUUCCCGUCAAUGUUCAAGUCACACAGCACUUCCUACACAACCAUCAUCGGGGGCAAGCAACCAAGAUGCAUCUACCAGUAAUAAGGAAAGGUGGACAUCGGCGACCUACAAAAAAACAAGGAAGCCAAGACCACAAGCCACAAGGCCAAAAGAGGAGCCUAAACCCGUCCCUCGAACUUUAGUCUUCUACAGGCUGAAUCAUUCAAAACCUAGAAUUUCGGCACUUGAUUGCAUCAGUGGUCGAGACCGAACUUCCGUCUUCAAAAGGCUUAAGACGCCAACACCGCAAAGAUCUGUCUUUGAAAGGUUAUCAAAACCCAAGAAACAAAGCGGCACAACUAGAUCUCCCCCGCAACAGUCGGCUGCGGACAAACUUGAAGAAACUAAAAAGCCUUCUAGAAACAGGAAGACAACGCCAAAGGGAGAAAAGCUCGACAGUCUAGCAGGAAAAGACGAUGUUUAAAGCUUGAUUCCUUCAAGGAUGAAGCGCCAAGCAACUUUGGAAGUCGAUACAAAAGGACCACUUAAGGUAAGGAGGCGCACCAUCAUCUACACCGGCCAAUCUUCACGCCAACAAACCUAAGAAGACCGCACUGAAGAAGAGGCCCAAGAAGACAAAGAAGACGAAAUCCCGGAAGAAUACGUCACUUCCGGCUCCGUCAACUUAAAAUCUUCACCUCAAUCGCUUGAGGCAUGCUCUAAAACCAUGCCAGUCAAGCCAAGCGAAGUUGAAAGAUGGAUUCAUGUCACUUCGAAGAAACUGCACAAGAAGCAUAUGUCUUCUCCACAAGUGCACCAAUCAGAAAAGGGGCAAAACAGCUUUCGCCAACCUCCAGAACAAUGUGAAAGUGUUGGAGAUAAUGAAACUUUGACACAAAGAUCAUCCAUCCCCAUCACGAUGUGUGACAUCUUCCUAGAAGACUUCUUCAACUACUCAGUCAAGGCUUCUUGCUAUGAAGAUUGCGAGGAAUAACUCUCCCGGAUCGCUUGACGAACCACAAAUGCUCCUUGUUCGCACGAGCCUAAACUGUACGAACCAAAGCUCCUUGUCCGCACGAGCCUAAACUGUAGGACACGAGGCUCCUCGCCUACACGAGUCUAAACUGCAUGGCACAACGCUCCUGGUCAGCAUGAGCAUAAAAUGCGACAUCAACGCUCCUAAUCCGCAUGAGCAUAAAAGGCGAUACCAACACUCCUUGUUCGCACGAGCCUAAACUGCACAAACCAAAACUCCUGGCCCACAAAAGCAUAAACUGUGUACGGCAAAAUCAUCAUCAAAAUCACUGUUAAAUUCAUCACUCAUUUGAACUACGUUAUGACUUGAUCUCUUAUUUGGAAGAGUACAUAGGCAACUUGAAACUUCAAAAGUUCAAGUACAGUCACAUCAUCAUAAAAAACACAAACACUUUGAAGAAUAAAAAGCAAAUUCAAAAUAUGAAUACUUUAUUUCUUUAAAGGAAUGAUUUGGUUACAAAGCCGUAUUACAAAGGUGGGCAUUACGUCAACGUCACCACCGAGGAAAGUUGUGACCAAAAGGCACUACAUAGCAUAAACUCGCUGCAGUCUUUUGCACAACCCCACAAGGUAAAGGUGACACACUGGAACAAGCUCCAAGCAGCAGCGGCAAAGAGCCUAUGGCAAGCAGCAAGGUCAAUAUGCACGGCAACGUCCCCCACCGAGGAAAGUUAUGACCAAAAGGCACUACACAACAUAAACUCGCUGCAGUCUUUUGCACAACCCCACAAGGUAAAGGUGACGCACUGGAACAAGCUCCAAGCAGCAGCGGCAAAGAGCCUAUGGCAAGCAGCAAGGUCAAUGUGCACGGCAACAUCCCCCACCGAGGAAAGUUAUGACCAAAAGGCACUACACAGCAUAAACUCGCUGCAGUCUUUUGCACAACCCCACAAGGUAAAGGUGACACACUGGAACAAGCUCCAAGCAGCAGCGGCAAAGAGCCUAUGGCAAGCAGCAAGGUCAAUAUGCACGGCAACGUCCCCCACCGAGGAAAGUUGUGACCAAAAAGGCAUUACACAAUAUAAACUCGCUGCAGUCUUUUGCACAACCCCACAAGGUAAAGGUGACGCACUGGAACAAGCUCCAAGCAGCAGCGGCAAAGAGCCCAUGGCAAGCAGCAAGGUCAAUGUGCACGGCAACGUCCCCCACUGAGGAAAGUUGUGACCAAAAGGCACUACACAUCAUAAACUCGCUGCAGUCUUUUGCACAACCUCACAAGGUAAAGGUGACGCACUGGAACAAGCUCCAAGCAGCAGCGGCAAAGAGCCCAUGGCAAGCAGCGAGGUCAAUAUACACAGCAAUGUCCCCCAUCGAGGAAAGUUGUAACCAAAAUGGCACUACAUAACAUAAACUUGUUGUAGCCUUUUGCACAACCCCACUUGGCAAAGGUGACAUACUGGAACAAGCUCCAAGCAGCAUCGGAAAAGAGGGCAGCUAUAAGACGGUUUUUCAAAGCACGCUACAGUAGCAAAGAAACCAAAAUGCCACGCAAUCGCACUACGCAACCUCGCAGCAAUUACGCAAGCAGUUUCUUACACCGCACGUCGACGUCACCACCAAGGGAAAACUGUGACCAAAAGGCAUUACACAGCGAAGCCCCACUGCAGUCUCUUGCAUAGCACCACACGGUAGCGCACCACCGAGGGAAAACUGUGAUCAAAAGGCACUACACAGCGAAACCCCGUUGCAGUCUCUUGCACAAACCCUAGGCAGCAGAAAGCACAAAUAUGCCCACAUCUUGCUCACUCCAAAUACCACGUCUCUGAAAGCUUCAUGAGGGUUCCAACAUCAUGCUCUGCCUUCUCCAAAAUUAAAGAUUCCUUGCAUCACAUCAAAUAAAAAAAAUACAUAUGUUUUAUGUAUUUAAUAAAAAAAAUAAAAAAAAAGAAUACAUACGUUAUUACUUGUUUACAAAAAGAAAAAAGAAAAAAAAAGAGAUUUCUUUUACAUACAUAUACAUACAAAUAUAUAUAUACAUAUAUAUAUAUAUAUAUGUAUGUAUGUAUGUAUAUCCAUCAGCAGCAAGCCUCUCAAAAGGAGGCCAUCCAGGCCCAAGUGGCAGCCUCCAAGCCCAAUCCGUCAUCUUCCCCGCCUACACAAAGUCCAGUGAGAGAGUUGCCAGAAAAUCCCACGCAAGUUGUGGAAGCAGUGCCGGCUGUGGUGGGUAGAAAGGGGAAUUGUAGCAGCAGCAGCAGCAGCAACAGCUCAAGCAGCAAUGGCAGUACAAGCAGUGGUGUGUUUGCAAGUUUAUUCGCUUCCUCAACAACAUCGGCAAGCUUGCAACCUCCUCAACCGCCUGCAUUUACUGACUUAAUUCGAGCCAUGGGGCAUCCAGAUCAAUCAACCAACCUAGCUCCAUCUUCUUCAAUGGAGCCCAUUUCUCUUGGCCUCUCAACCAGCCAUGGAUCCUCAAUUUUCGAGUCUGCAGGACAGGAGCGUAGGCAAUAUGCGCCUCCAUCACAACCAUCUAUGUCUGCGACAGCACUGCUUCAGAAAGCUGCUCAAAUGGGCGUAGCAGCAACCAAUGCAUCGUUGCUUCGUGGGUUUAGCAUUAUGUCAUCUUCAACGUCUUCCACGCAAGAAGAGAGAGAGAAAGAGCGAGCAUGGGCGAGAUCCAGGCCAUGAGGGACCUGAGAGAAUGGCUGCUGACGCUUUGUUCAACACUUUGCCAGCUGCCUUUGUUCAACGUUUUGCUUCUUCCUUAUUGGGUUUCCUUCUGAUUUCUACAAUGGAUGCCGACGAAUCUGACGACUUGAGCAGAGAAGAAGAGGCGUCCGAUACUAAGAGCAUGGAAGAAGGCGAGAUGGCACAGCAACAAAAACCACGGCUUUCGCCGGAAAUACGUCAGAUCCCGCACGAGCUUCCCCACCGAUGAUACGACCAAUAUUGCAUACAUUUUAAUGCCCUUUAGUUUAGAUUUUUGUUAUGUUUUUGAGUGAAUUUAGUUUGUUUCAUUUAGUUUUAUGUUUUUCUUAGAUUUGAAGAGUGAAGAUGAAGAAAGAAGAAAAAAUGAGCACUUUGGCGAUUGAAGUGAGUUAUGUGCCCUGGAAGCAGAAGCUGUUUGUGCAGAUCAGCCAACUUGACGGAAUAAACUGUACUUCCUCAGAAUGAACCAGCUGUUGAGCUUUAUACCAUUGGAAAGAUAUGGAUGUUAGCUUUCAGAGGAAUUUUACGGACUGUGAUUUCGAGUUUCCUAGACGAUGUUAUGAAAGUUUUUGUACAAGACGUCGGUCAGCCAAGUCUACGCGGAAAUUGCAAAGUCUGUUGGGUUUUUCAAGUCAUAAUUCAGUCGAAGCCCAAAGCCCAAGAUAGAAAACGUUGGAGAUGAUUUUAGUCCUAUUUCAAAUGGGUCUGGAGUAAUUUACUUGGGAAACUUACCUGCCACAUCAUCAAUUAUCCAAUACAAAUGAGGAAAAGAUUGAAAAAGACCUAAGGAUGCUAGGAUUUUGACGAAUCGAUAAGGGAGAGAUUGUAGGAAGCAAAGAGGGGUUCUUUUGGGGGGGAUUCUCUGCGUGUUUUUGGAAGAGCAGCAGCCGCCUUUCAUCGAUCCUAAGUUCUUCAUGUUUUUAAGAUUGUUAAUUAUGUUUUCAUAUUCUAUGAGUAACUAAACUCUUUUUCUAGGGUUAGGAUGAUGCCCUAGCAUGGAUGUUUAUGGUUUUUAAUGUUAUUCAUUGGGUUUCUAGAUUCUUUUAGAUGAAUGUUUAAUCACUGUUUGAAUUGUUACUCUUUGUAUGGGUUCUUUGAUUGAUCACCUUAGGGCUUUGCAUCUAGUAAGAUUGGAAGAUGAAUUUGAGGCUGAACUAGCAAUAUAAUUCAAUUAGCUUCUUGUGGUUAAGUGUGGUAAAUUACAUUGUUGCUUGACAAAGAAUAAUGGUUUGCUUGGUUCCCUUGUUUUCUAGAGCGUACAGAGUCCUAUUUGUUAAAUUUAUGCCUUAACCAGGAUAGAUUGCAUGUUAGGAUAUACGACCUCUGCUUGAACUAGGAGAGAAUCAUUCACUUAAGGAAAACUAUGAUCUAAUGUGCCUGACAAGGACGUAGAUACGGGAAUUAUCAUCUAAAGAAUCGAAAGAUCCGUUGAAUGCAUUGAAACCUAAAUUAGAUUGCUUGUGGUUGAUUCCGAAUCCCUAGACUUUUCAUCACUUGCCUUAAAACACAACAUUUUCUUCUCUUUAAUUUCAGUUUUUACUUAAGGUUCUGUUUUUGUUCGUUUAUAAAAUCAUCACAACAAAUUCUUCACAUCCUUGAUUGAUUUUAUUAAUUAAGAUCGAGUCUAGUCCGUUGUUUGAAUUUAUAGUUUUGUGUUUGUGUGUUAUUAAUAUUAUUAGAUUUGGUUUAGUUUAUCGAAUUGGAGAUUGAAUUAGAAUCCUCGUGGGAACGAUACUUGGACUUGCAAAACGCUAUAUUACGACUACUUUGUGCACUUGCAAGUUUACACCAACCGACCCCCAGGCGUUGGGCCAUAUUAGACUUGACGGAUUCGAGCAAAUAGGCGUUGGGCCAUAUUAGACACAGAACCUGCACACUGCACACUAAGAGCCAGAGAAUCCUUAACAGCCAACUCAUCAGACCGUUUGGAAAGUAGUUUGUUAUCUUUGAGAGUGACAAGGUUCCGGGCCACCACCGCAGCGGUCAUAUCAUUCUUCAUCAUCGAAUCCCCAACGGUAAGAGGACCAGUAGGGGAUAUGAAGGAUGGGCGCCAUAUGUUGUCUGGAGAAGGCGGGACUGCCUCUUCACCAAGGUUCAAAUAAAAAACAACGGUCGGAGGGUCCAGACAUUUUCAAAGGUGUUGAAGAAAGAAGAGGUCAGACAAAUCAAGAUCUUAGAAGUGCAAGAAGGGAGUUUCUACAAGCGAAAAUUCAAGUGUGCUUUGAAACGAACUGCAUGCCUCUAUAAAAAUCAGUACUCGACGGGAUUUCAGAGAUAGAAGAGGCGAGCUCAGAAUUCAAAGAGGCCAAUUCAAAAAUCGAAGAGGCAAGCUCAGAAAUCAGAGAAGCAUCUUGCUUUUCCAGACGCGUCAGCACCCGUCACACACAAACUCAGCUUUGCGGAAAUCACGGGCAAUUUGUCGAAACGCCGAUCCCAGAUAUCGAAGAGACGCCAGUCUUUUUCAGCCUCGUCAACACCUGUCACAUGCACACUCAGCUAGGCGGAAAUUACGGACAAUUUGUCGAAGAUUUCUGAUAAAAAAGAAAGCACGUGAAGCCAUACUGAUCAAUCACGCAUUGGUUGCCGACACGAGUGAAAGAAUAGUACCUCUACAGGUACUAAAGAAUUUCCUAUAACUAUCCACCUUCACCCUCCAUAGCAAGGUAGACAUACAUAACCUUUCUUCAUCUCGGAGAACCUUUCUUCAUCUCCGAGAACCUUUCUUCAUCUCCAAGAAUGCCUUCCCAACGAAGCCUCUCGAGUCACUCAGUGUUUCUUAUUCCUUGGGGUACCUCUGCAAACAAAUGACCUAAAGCAAAAGUAUCUUAUAUCACCAGGGUAGAAAGCAAGAGUAUCUCAUAUCAUGCUUUCUCCCCGUCCUUUCCUUUGUCCUUGUUCUUACCUGCAAAGACAAGGAUAAAGAAAACAAUAUGUCGGAACCUCCACUCAAACUCAGGUAAGGAAUCGACUACCUGGAACCUUUGCCUGGUUGCUUACAUGGUAUUACUCUCGAGUACUCGUCUUUCACUGCUGCUGUACUUCCAAAGAAGCUGCCACAUCUGCCUGGAGAACAGAUAAGGCAAGUGAAAAUGAUACCUUGCAGCAUGUGGAGACAACGUGCAGAAGAAACAAGCAGAGAAGAAUGCGGUCUGCACAGUCAACUCAGCAGAAGGAGUCCGAGUUGAGGAACUCAAGAAGCUACCACAUCUGCUUGAAGAAACAAGCAGAGAAGAAUGCAGCCUGCACAGUCAACUCAGCAGAAUGAGUCUGAACUGAGGAACUCGAGAAGAUGCCACAUUCUGCCAGAAGAAUAAAUAAGGCAAGGGAAAAUGAUACAUUGAAGCAUGUGGAGACAAGCGAAAAACAAAGCACGUGCCGAUUCAUCCGCUACUUCUUAAAAAAUCAAAAGUAUCUCAUAUCAUCAGGGUUGCAAUCACUAUGGGUGGAGGACUCGUUUUGACCCUCAAAUUCUUGGGUCGACUUACUAGGCGUUGUGGGCUGCACGUGCCGAUUCACCACCCUUGAAUCAAAUCCUUAAAAAUCAAGUCACCAACUGGAAGAAGAGCCCAUCAAUCUUGAAGAUCAUACCGUUGACCAAACUGCUCAGGUGUGAAUUAGAAAGAUUGAACAAAGCAACAAGUCAUCACCUUCCCCUCAUGCCUGCUUGCCAUGUGUUUGAGUCAACCUUCAAGAAUCAAGCUUCAACGGCCCUUGAAGAAGCUUCCAGCCAAAUUCAAAAUCAAGCCUCGAUGGCCUUGGAAGAAAUCACAAGUUCGAUUCAAGAUCAAGUGUCCACCACCCUUGAAUCAAAUCCAGUUCAAGAAUAAGCUGUGGAAAGUCAACAAGCGCAAAAAACAAAUACGUACCAAUUCAUUCACUACCAAAGCCAAAGAUCAUCUACCACAUGAAGCUCCUUGUGGUCCAAUUUCAACCUUCAAGAUCAAGCCUCGACGGCUCUUGAAGAAAUCUCAAGCCCAAUUCAAGAUCAAGCCUCAACGGCCCUUGAAGAAAUCUCCAACCCAAUUCAAGAUCAAGCCUUGAUGGCCCUUGGAUCGACAUCUACAGUAAGGGACUUCAAAACGCAUCUCCUACAUGUGACAAGCACAUGUAUACGACACGCCUUGAAGUGGGGGCAUUUGUAGACAUCGAAAUUUCAGUAAAUAAAUGUUGACCGAUAAAUCAAAGUUUCGACGCUCAUGUAUUACAUAAAUUUUACACGUAGCGUAUGUCUAAACAAAAAAUCGAAAUAAGUUGGAAAAGUCAUCAAAUAGGACACGUGUCAACACCUGGCAGAAAUGACUUAUUUCAUCUGGAAUAUUAUAUUCAAAAUUAGGCCUCGGAAAAUUCUAUAAAUAGAAGCCAAUUUCAUUCAUUUGGAGGGACCAAUUUUCAUAUUACACCUUGAAGCUCUGAAGCUCUGAAACUCCGAAGCUCUCAAGCGUCCAAGUUCCCGAAGAAUCAAGAAAGCCUUCUUCGUUCUUCGUUCAUCGUUCUUCAAGAUCAAGCCCCAACGGCCCUUGAAGAAAGCGUUCUUCGUUCAUCGUUCUUCCAAGAUUAAGCCCCGACGGCCAUUGGAUCAACAAUCAUCCACCUUCAAGAUCAAGCCCCGACGGCCCUUGAAGAAAGCGUUCUUCGUUCAUUGUUCUUCCAAGAUCAAACCCCGAUGGCCCUUGGAUCAACAAUCAUCCAUCUUCAAGAUCAAGCCCAAAAGCCCUUGAAGAUCUGUUCAUCACUGUUCUUCAAGAUCAAGCCCAAAAGCCCUUGAAGAUCCGUUCAUCACCGUUAUUCAAGAUCAAGCCUCAACAGCCCUUGAAGAAACGCUCAUCCUCAAGAUCAAGCCCCAACGGCUCCUUGAAGAUCCGCUCAAAUCCACUUUCAAGAUCAAGCCCACGGCCCUUGAAGAACGUUCAUCCUUAGAUCAAGCCCAACGACCCUUUGGAUCAAUCGCACAUCCACAAACACACACCUUACGAAGAUCGAAUUAGAGGAUCAAAUUAGAGAUUGUAACCCUAAAAAAUCAUCAAAUACAAAAUAUUAUUUUGUGCACGUUGUUCUUGUCUCUUUUGUUUCAGGAAAAUUUCGUGUUUACAUAAUGAUCUGCAUUGGGUUCUAUUGAGUGAUCCCUCCUCAUUGAAUCAAAAACCAUGAUGCCUUCACCAACCAGCCGAGAAUGGCUACAACCGCUCAAAACACCAGUGAAAGUAACAGAAUUAGGCUUCACCCCAGAGUCUAACAUUUUUCUGAAUGGUAACAAGGCUUCUUCUCCAUUCCCAUACAUCGAGUUUGCAAUGAUCAUCGUAUUCCAUGCAACUGUAUCCCUUCUUGGCAUCAUAUCAAAGACCCUCUGAGAAAGUUCCAACUCACCACAUUUCGCGUGCAUGAAAACCAAAGCUGUUGUGGUAGCCAAGUCCUCCAUUAAACAAUUCCUAAAGAUGUAACUGUGCACCUCUUUGCCUGCCCUCAAGCUUACCAAAUCUUCGCAAGCUGGUAACAAACUAGUAAUUGUGAUCUGAUUGGGCUUAAUUCCUGAUUCUUGCAUUUGUCCGAGCAUUUUCAGCGCCUGUUCCGUCUGCCCAUUAUUCAAGUACCCACCAAUAACAGCAUUCCAUGAAGCACCAUCCAACUAAACAACUUACCUUCUCAUCCUAUAAAAUAAAGUUACACCCCUUUCGCAAUCUCUGUUCGAAAAAUACACAGUUAGAAGUACAUUCCAGGACACGACAUCUCGUUUAGACAUCAUAUCAAAUACCAACUGAGCUUGUUUAAUGCUCAGACAACUAGCAUAGAUAUUUAUGUGUCUGUAUUAUUUAUUUGGUCAUAAGUAAAAGUUUGUAUUCGUUAUUUAUGACAACUAAUAAAGCUAAUAAACAUAUAUUAUAUAUGUUUGACAUUUACUUGUGACGCGUAAGAGUUUGACAUGUGUACACAUAUAUUAUUUAUUUAUUUUCUGAAAUACAGACACAUUUUUUUCAUUCAAUUACAAACACAUUUAAUGAAUAAACUUGGUACAAAAAGUUGGUUCCCUUCACCCAAUGAUUUGAUUUUUUCGCUAAUACUUGCCAUCAUAUUUGAGGUAGGUUUUAUUAGCUAAUGCUUGAAUUCCAUAUAAGAUUUGACAUGCUUGAUGGGUAUUUUGUUUCUUUUGAAGAUGAAAGUUUUGCUUCUGUUUGUCUAUUUUAAAAUUCAACAACUAAAAAUUUAACGGUCAUGCGAUAUUAUGAGCCAAUUCAUUCUAUAAUUUCCGCUAACUGAUAACAAGUGAAUUAUUGUUUCAUGACAGCUGGGAGAGAGGCAUUUGUCAUAUGAAUUUCUUUGGCUAUCCACCAUUGGACAAGUGAUCACUGUUAUUAUCAGCUGUCAACUUUGUUGGGUCUGAAUUGUCAAUAGAGCAUAACUUUCUCUCCAAACCAAAGUUGGGUCAAUUAAGAAACCCAAGUACUUUAAUUUAUUUGAUUUUUCUUUGGGCAAACCGUCCAUCUUCUCUGCAUAAUUUUUGUAUUAAUUUCUUUGGACAAAGUGUACAAUCUCAGAACAACCAUGCAAUCAUGCAAAGCCUUGCGAAGCUUUUUUAUGUGCUUGCUCUUCUUAUUCUCCCUUCUAAGAAUCGCAGCUGCAACUGCACUGGGCACAAUCACUCCGAGUCGAUAUAUAAGAGAUGGCGAAACUCUGGUUUCAGUAGGUAGAAGCUAUGAACUGGGAUUCUUCAGCCCUGGUAAAUCGAAAAGCCGGUACUUGGGAAUAUAUGGUACACUGUUUCUACUGAUGCAGUUGUGUGGGUAGCCAACAGAGAAACACCACUUGGUGAUUCUUUGGGACUUCUGAAGCUCACCGAGCAAGGAGUUCUGGUCCUUCUCAAUAGCUCAAACAGCAUUGUGUGGUCAUCGAAUUCUUCAAGAAUCGCAGGGAAUCCGGUGUCGCAACUCUUGGAUUCUGGAAAUCUUGUGGUGCAAGAUGGGAACGAAACUAACCCGAAUAACUUCUUGUGGCAGAGUUUUGAUUAUCCUUGUGACACAUUCCUACCGGAAAUGAAGAUUUGUGGGGACUUGGUUACCGGUUUAGAUAGGUAUCUCUCGUCAUGGAAGAGCACAGAAGAUCCUACUCAAGGAGAAUUUUUGGCACGAAUGGAUUAUCAUGGCUUACCACAAGUUCUUCUUAUGAAAGGAGCUAAGAUACAGGAGAGAACAGGGUCAAGGAAUGGCCUUUAUUUGACAGGACAAGGAUAUGGUGUCAGAGAACCAAAUCCAGUAUCUGGGACUAAUUUGUGUUGAACAAGGACAAGGUCUAUUUUGAGUACAGCCUCCGAAACAUGUCAGUGUUCUCGAGAAUUGUAUUGAACCCCUUCGGGGUCUCCGAGCAGUUCACAUGGGUGUACCAAAAACACAGUUGGGAACUUCCCGCUACACUCCUAGCAGAUCGGUGUGAAACCUAUGCCUUUUGUGGUCCAUUUUCUAGUUGCAGUAUCAAUAAUAACUCUCCGAUAUGUGCAUGCUUGAAGGGAUUUGUACCAAAAUCUUCAAAAGAUUGGAAUUUGGGAUAUUGGUCUGAUGGAUGUGUUCGAAGGACUCCGUUGGCCUGCAGCGAUGGAGAUGGCUUCAUAAAGUACAGUGGGAUGAAAUUGCCAGACACAUCAACCUCGUGGUUUGAUAAAAGCACGAGCCUUAAGGAAUGCAAGGGAUUAUGUUUGGGAAACUGCUCAUGUACUGCGUGUGCAAAUCUGGACAUCAGGGAGGGAAGAAGUGGCUGCGCGCUUUGGUUUGAUAACCUCACUGACAUAAGAGAAUUCACUCCCGGCGGUGGUCAAGACCUCUAUAUACGGGUGGCAGCUUCAGAACGAGGUACAUCUUCGACCUUUCUCUGCAGUAUGCAAAGUAGGGUUUAAAUAAGUGAAGUGUUAAAAUCACAGUUACUGCAACACUACGAGAUCACACGAAAAGUUUGUUUUAAUACAGAUAUUUCAGAUCACGCUAAGAAAAAGAGCAAUUUCAACAAGAGACAGCUACUAGCAAUUCUACUCAGCUCUGCAGUUUUUCUCAUGGGAUUGCUAGUUGGAAUGAUUUUGUGUAUACGGAAGAAGAAACUCAGAAAUGAAGGUAACUAUUUUUGGACACAUUAAAAAUGCAUUAGAUAAGGUAGUUAGUAUUUAACUAGUGAUGGUGCCCGCACGAUGCUGCGGGUUUUUAAACCAUAUAAAACAUAUCAAAAGUUCCAUGUAUAUAUACGAUAUGCAAUAUUUAUGCAUGUGAUUCAUGUCUUCUUAACCAUUAACAGAACAAAUUGAAAAUAUGAAAGUCAAAAACUACACUUAAGUAUAAAUAUACAUGCGGUCUGCAAACUCGUUUCUAAGUUCUACAACUGCCACUUAUUCCAAAACAACUACUUACUCGUCAUCUCCCUUCAUAAUCCCGUUCGUUGUCUUUUUAGAUUUUGGCAGCUAAACAUGCUCAUUUUAAUAUUCUCUGCAUCCACAUCAUGAGGAACUUUUUGUACCUGAAGUUGCUGUUGGUAUUCACAAGAGUUUUACUAACUCAAUACCAAAAUAUGUGGGUGAUAAGUUUACAAACUCUAUCACACCUCUCACUUUGCACUCUCAAUAAAAUUGGACAAACGAAAAGGAAAGAAGUAACAAGCUUGGUGAUAACAAACACUAUGAAAUAUUAGAAGAGUUUACAACUCUUAAAGCUUACAAGCUGAAAAUGAGAAUGGGAAUUGGAUUGAUGUUCUAAAACCUAGCAAGAAAGCCUAUUUAUACAAAACAGAAAUUGAUAAACAAUACAACAACAUGCAAUGAAUGAUGGUGUUUACCAUCUUUACACCCUUUCAAACACAGGCAGCAACUUUAGAUAGUUGGCACACACAUGCAUUGCAUUAUUCCAGGUUGGAAUCACAACCUUUCGGCUAGCACACAGCAGCUCACAUUAGGGCUGGGUUCGGUUUGAAACGAUUCGGUUUUUUGCUAAAACCGAAACCGAACCGAAAUUUUGGUUCGGUCCGAUUUUUUUUCGGUUCGAUUUUUUUCGGUUUUGAUUUUUUUCGGUUCGGUUUCGGUUUUUUUUCGGUUUUUUCAUGAUUUUUUUUUAAUAUCUGGAGCUUGAAGCACAUUUUUUUUCCUCAUUCGGCUGCAAAUUUACCCUUUCUCUCCACACUCCGCAGAUCCGGAGCCCUCUCAAGCAUAGAUGAAGGUGGUCGCUGCAUCGUUGUUGGCUGUAUUGGGCAGCAAGACCACCACAGCUGGCGGAGGUGGUGCUGUUGCAGUUGCUGCAACUGGUUGUGGUGGUGGUGCUGCCGCUGAGGCAAAGAAAGAGGAUAAGCAAAUAAUGAUAUCAGGGGAGAAAAAAAGAAAGGGAAAGAAAUGGGUGAGACUCUCACAACACAAAAAUCAAACAAAUCUACAAUACAAAACAAAACAACAACCCAUAAAUUUACACCAAAAUUUCAGAUUCCCUCCAUGGAAUUUACUCUAAAAAAACCCAUAAAUCGACAAAAUAAAUAAGAGAGAUUGAAGAUCUUACCCUGGAGUGAGAAGAUCGAGAAACGGAGAGAGAAGAAUGGAGAAGAAUGGAGAAAUUGGAGGCAUGGACAAGGAGGGAGUCUGGAGGCGCAGGGACGAGAGAGAGAGAAGAGGGGAAUGAAAAAAGAAAAGGUAUGGCUGCUACUACUAGUGGCUAGGGUUUUGUUGAUUUCUAAUUGCACAAAUGGCUAUAGAUUUAUAUCUUUAUAAAUAGUUUAGUUAUACAACUAUAACAAAACAAAACCAGUUGCCAUGUUGGUUUUGUUGAAACCUUUCAACUGGAGCGCACGGGUUCAAACCCACAUGCCUCCAGGACUUUAGAGAUUUUUUAAUUUUUAUAAUUAAAAUAUUAUAAAAAAAUAAUUAAAUAUAUAUUCGGUUCGGUUUGGUUUUUUUCGGUCUCGGUUCGGUUUGGUUCUCGAUUUUUUUAGGUUUUCAGUUUUUUGAACCCACCCCUAGCUCACAUCUCUACUGUCUUUCAACACACUUUCAGCUAGCACAUGGAUGAAACUUUAGUCUUUGUAGUUGCAGCAAGUGUGAAUACAACCUGUAAAGAAACUAAUGAUAAGCUCAUAUUUAUAUAUAUUUUACAUAAAAUUCACUUGUCUUUUCUUAGUUAGUUCCUUAUAUUUUUGAGCUAUUUACUAUGUUUUUGUGUUUUGUGUGAUUUAUCAAGCAAAGAAAAGAAAAGUAGCACAAGUGAAUUAUUAAGUAACAAAUUCGUCAAAACUGCCUGUGCAGAUUAUCUGACUUUGGAAGCAUAUUACAAACAGCUCAGAAUGAAUGAGAGAAUGAGCCUUAUAUGCGUGGAAAGCUACAGAUGUCUAUUUUCUGGAGCAAUUUAUGGAUUGUUAAUCUCAUUUUUCUAGAAGAAGUUAUGGGCAUUGUAACACUGAAAGGUCAGAAAAGGGCUAAGCAGAUUUGGCUAAUAAAAAGAGAAAGGCAACUCAUGGGCAAAGGAAACACACACACAUGGGCAGAAAAUGGGUGGAUUGUUGGCUGAAAUAAUGAAGAACAUGUGUCUGCAAAUGCAAAGGAAAAAAACACACACAUAGGCAAAGGAAACACACACACAUGGGUAGGAAUUGUGUGUGUUUUGUGGUUGAAAUGAUGAAGCAUGUGUGUGUAAAUGUAAAGGAAAACAUGGCAGAAAAUGUGUGUGUUUGGUGGUUGAAAUGAUGAAGCAUGUGUGUGUAAAUGUAAAGGGGAAACAUGACAACACACACCCACACAAGCUGCACAUGCAAAGGAAAUGGAGUGGUCAUCUCUCAAGCCUAUAAAUACCACCUCCCAUAUUCAUCAACAAAACAGAUUUUCUCCUUGCUUUGGCCGAAACUUCCCACCACCAUUCUCUCUAAUUUCAGCCAAAAACCACCCCUAGCCACACCACCCAUCAAUCCUAAACCUUUCCAUACCAUUCCCCAUCCAUUCUACACCAUAAAAACCACCCAAAACCGUCCAAAACCUCUAGUGCCGCUGCUUGCAAGGAAGGAAAGAGAAGGAACAUCUUGUGCCGUGCCUAUGCCCAAGCCUUGGGAGUGUUGGAGCGUUUCUAGGUGUUUUCUAUCUUUGUUUUUAAUGUCUAAAUUUAUGCAUCUUUGCUUUGUAAGUAUGAGGAACUAAACCCCUCUUAGUUAGGGGGUGAUUCGAAACUAUGUUCAUGCUUGCAAUAUGAUUUGAUUACAUCCAGUUGUGAUUCAUAAGUUGUGAAUUCAAUUUACUUAUCCGUUCGUAUAAAAACUGAUUUGUGUAUGUUGGUUGAGAGUGUACGCUUAAUUUUCAUGCAUGAAUUUGACGCUAGAAUAUAAGGGAGUUUCACCUAAUCGUUAUGAACUUAUAUUCACAAGUAGUGAAGGUUGCUAGUCACAAUCACGUUAAGUAAAUUCUUGGCAUAAGUUUCAUGCAAAUCAUAUAAGUAACGAGUGCCUCGUCAAUGCUUAUGUUUUUCAUAGAACUUAAUGAUUCUUGCUUGUGUAUCUCUAUUAUGCAAUUCAUGUAGGGAACUUGUAGGGAAUGUUUUGGGUUGUCGUAUGCAAUCAUCCAACCUAAUAACUUGUGGAAAAACUGAGGGUUAAUUAGUGCAAUUCACGGUUAAUUUGGGGCGUUGAGUAUUCAUAGUUUAUCGAAAAGCAAUUGGAAAUCAUUUUGUAUGCAAGUGUGACAUGUGUGGAGAAGAACCUCUGAGCUAGCUUCUCAUCCAUUCAAUUUGAUCAAUCUCGUUUUAAAACCUAUUUUGUUUUACAAAGUUCUUGUUUUGUUUUCAAAUUCGUCUAAAAUCAAUCCCCCUUUAUUUUGUUGAGUCAUAUUAGUUAGAAAUCAAUUUAGUUUGUGUUUUUAAGUGUCUUGAGUCAAGUUAUAACAUAUUUUCGUUCAAAUUCUUCCUUAGUGUUCAAAACUGCCCAGAUUGUGUUUUUAAGGCAGUUUUGAGUGUUUAGGUGCUGUUUUGAGUCUUUGGGUUUCAUCUCUCACCUCUUGCCGUGCCCAUCCUUCACCCAAAUCCAUAUUUUCUGACCCCUAAACCCCCCUAGCCGUGCCAUACACCCAUCCUAGACACUUUUCCACCAUUCUACCUCAUCCAAAACCAUCCCAAACCAUCUCCAUACCUUGUGUCGCAGCAAGAAGGAAGAAGGAGUGCCCUUGAUUGUGCUUGCUAGUCUAUUGCAGAUUGCUGGAACUUUUAGGUGUAAUCUUUCUUAUGUUUUCAAUGUUUCAAUUCAAUAAACCUUGUGUUGUGAGUAUGAGGAACUAAACCCCCUUAGUUGGGGGGGGGUGAUUCGAGACCAUGUACAUGCUUGCAAUAUGAUUUGAUUACAUUCAGUUGUUAUUUCAUAAAUUGUGGAUUCAAUUCGUUCAUCUACUUGAUUGAUAACUUAUUUGUGUAUGUUGAUUGAGAGUGCACGCUUAGUUUUCAUGCAUGAAUAUGAUGCUAGAUUAUGAGGGAGUUUCACCUAAUAGUUACAAUCUUAUAAUCACAAGUAGUGAAGGUCGCUUGAAAACGAUCGCGUUGAAUGAAUUCUUGGCACGAGUUUCAUGCUCAUCAUAGUAACGAAUGCCUCGUCAACACUUAUAGUUCUCAUUGUGCUUAAUGAUUCUUGAUUGUAUCUUUAUUGUGCUCAUCACGUAAGGAACCUUUGAGGAAUGCUUUGAAUUGUUGUAUGCGCUUUCCCAUCCAAUUCAUUAACUUAAGGAGAACUUGAAGGUUAAUUUAAGCGUAUCUAAUUAACUUGGGGUGUUGAGUUUCAUAAUUUAUUGGAAGAACAACUAAAAAUCGUUUUGUUUGCAAGUGUGUCAUGUGUGGAGAAGAACCUCCUAACUAGCCUUUUAUCCAUCCUUUUCAUCCGAAACGUUUUUACAAUCUGUUUGUUUUUAAAGUUUCUGUUUUGUUUUCAAUUUUCGUCCAAAACAAAUCCCCCUUUAUUUUGAAGUCUUAGAUUAGUUAGAAAGUGUUUUGAUUUGUGUUUUUAAGUGUUUUGAGUCAAGUUAUAACAUAUAUUCGUCCAAAUUUGUGUUAGUACUCAAAACUGCCCAGAUUGUGCUUCUAAGGCAGUUUUGAGUGUUUAUUUGCUGUUUUGGUUCCUUUGCUUUGUUUUGGUGUUUUAACUUUUAAUUUUACAUUCUUUGAGUCUAGUUUAGUGUUUUAAACUUUGUUUUUACAUUAUUGAGUAGUUUUCAAGAGUUUAGCAAUCCCUCCUAAUCCCCGGUUUAGAACGAUCCCUACUUACAUCUUUACUACAAUUUGACAAAAGAGGGUUUAAUUUGUGUGUUUAGUUAUUUUAUGCAUCAAUUUGAUCAAUCUCGUUUUAAAACCUAUUUUGUUUUACAAAGUUCUUGUUUUGUUUUCAAAUUCGUCUAAAAUCAAUCCCCCUUUAGUUUGUGUUUUUAAGUGUCUUGAGUCAAGUUAUAACAUAUUUUCGUUCAAAUUCUUCCUUAGUGUUCAAAACUGCCCAGAUUGUGUUUUUAAGGCAGUUUUGAGUGUUUAGGUGCUGUUUUGAGUCUUUUGGUUUGUUUUAGUGUUUUAAAGUAUAGUUUUGCAUUCUUUGAGUCUAGUUUAGUGUUUUAAACUUUGUUUUUACGUUUUCAAGUCAGUUUCCAAGUGAUUUAGCAAUCCCUCCUAAUCCCCGGCCUAGAACGAUCCCUACUUACAUUCUUUACUACAAUUGACAAAAAGAGGGUUUAAUUUGUGUGCUUAUAUAUUUCGCACCAACUAACAGCUAACAGCUGCCAUUUACAACCUGUUUUGAUUUGAAUUUCCAACACACCUCCUCAAAUCAAAACGCCUUCAUGCCUAGCAUUUCACGUAGCAACUUGAAUGGCUCAACUGGCAGGGGCUUUGUGAAGAUGUCAGCCACUUGUUCCUUGGUGUGACAAUAGAUAAGUUCGAUUGUCUUUUGCUUCACAUGGUCCCUCAGAAAAUGGAACCCGGUAUCAAUAUGCUUGCUCCUUCCAUGUUGGACUGGAUUCCUAGCAAGCUUGAUAGCUGAGAUGUUAUCCACAUGAAUCACAGUCGAUUCCACUUGUGGAUGACAUAUUGACUUCAACAGAUUUCUUAACCAAAUUGCCUCACACACAGUUGAGGCUACAGCAACGUAUUCGACUUCACACGAUGACAAAGCAACAAUGGAUUGCUUCUUUGAAGUCCAUGAGAAAGCUGUUGAUCCUAGAAAAACACAUAGCCAGUUAUGCUUUUCCUUUCAUCUUUGUCACCUCCCCAAUCACUAUCUGAAUAACCAAAUAAUUUUGCAUCUUCACCAAAAUUAUAAAAUAGACCAUAGUUUAGAGUACCUCUUAUGUACCUCAAAAUUCUCUUGGCGGCCAGCCAAUGAGACUCCCUUGGUGUUUCCAUGUAUCGACUCACGAGUCCAACAUCAUAAACUAUAUCAAGUCUUGUGAUUGUAAGGUACCUUAGGCUUCUAACCAAGCUUUUGUACACGGUUGAGUUUACAAACUCACCUUCUCCUUCCUUGGACAGCUUCAAUCCAGUUGCAACUGGAGUGUUGACAAUAUUGCACUUGUCCAUAUUGAAUUUCUCCAAUAUAUCUCUCAUGUACUUUUGUUGAGAGAUGUAGAUACCGUCACUUUCUUGCUUCACCUCUAUGCCAAGAAAGUAUGACAUUAAUCCAUUGUCAGUCAUCUCGAAUUCACUGAACAUGGAUUGCUUGAACUCACAGAACAUUGCUUCAUUGUUUCCUGUAAACAACAAGUCAUCUACAUAGAGACAAAUAAUUAAGAACUCCCAUUUUUCACCGUUCUUCAUGUAAACUGAAUGCUCGUAUGGACAUUUCUGAAAUCCAUUUUGGUGAAGGUAGUUAUCAAUCCUUGAGUUUCGAGCUCGUGGUGCUUGCUUGAGGCCAUACAAAGCCUUCUUCAAACGAUACACCUUAUCUUCUUCUCCUUGUACUUGGAAGCCUUCCGGUUGUUCCACGUACACUUCUUCCUCAAGAACUUCAUUAAGGAAGGCUGACUUGACAUCUAAUUGAUAAAUUUUCCAUUUAUGCUAAACGGCAAGAGAGAUUAGUAAUCUUACCGUGUCAAGUCUUGCAACUGGAGCAUAGACUUCAUCAUAGUCUACUCCAUACUUCUGUUUGUAGCCCUUUGCUACAAGCCUUGAUUUGUACCGAUCCACACUCCCAUCUGCAGUGCGUUUGAUCUUGUACACCCACUUGACACCAAUAUCCUUUUGAUUUGGUGAGAGCUUUGUCAACUCCCAAGUGUCAUUUUUCUCGAUGGCAUGGAUCUCUUCUUCCAUGGCUUUCUUCCAACAAUCUUCUUCCACAGCUUCAUUGAAUGAGAGAGGCUCAUGGUUUGCAUACAAGCAGAAAAAGUUGGUUUUUUUUUUCUUCUUGUCCAUAUAUCUCGGUGAGACUUCUUAGCCUCACUAGAGUUGAGGAGCUGCUUUCUUCACUUGAUGUAGGACCACUCAUUGCAGUUCUGUGCAAUGGAGUUGUUGUGUUUGUUUGAGCAGGCUGUUGCUCAACAGGUGGUACAACUUCUGGUUCUUCAAAAUCAGUGGAGACGAUCUUCUCUUUACUGACUUCUUUGUUGUUCCACUUCCAUGCCUCUUCCUCACUGAAGAUGACAUCUCUACUAACCACUAGUUUGCCAGUUAGUGGGUUGUAGAGCUUGUAUGCCCACAAACACACACUUCUCACUUCAAUCAUCGAGUUUCCUUCUCUUGGCUUCUGGAACUUGAGCAUAUGCAACACACCCAAAAACUCUUAGGUGUGCAACAUUCGGCUUGUAUCCACUCCAAGUCUCUUGUGGUGUCAUCCUCUUAACACUCUUUGUUGGACAUCGAUUCAACAAAUAAAUCGAACAAGCUACAGCUUCUGCCCACAAUUCUUUUGGCAAAGUCUUUUCUUUAAGCAUGGACCUUGUCAUGUCAAGGAUGGUUCAAUUCUUUCUUUCGGCUAUCCCAUUUUGCUGUGGGGUAUAGGCAGCAGUUAGUUGAUGCCUAAUUCCUUGCUUAUUGCAGUAUGCUUGGAAAACAUUGGAGGUGUACUCUCCACCUCUAUCUGAUCUCACAGCCACACAUUUGUGGUUGCUUUCAGCCUUUGUGAGUGCCUUGAACUCCUUGAAGAUUCUUAGGGCAGCCGACUUCUCCUUGAGAAAAUAAACCCAAGUCUUCCUACUAAAAUCAUCAAUGAAAGUAAUAAAAUACCUAUUACCUCUAUAAGACAUGGGAUCCAAUGGACCACAUAUAUCUGUAUGCACCAACUGCAGUGGUGCCUUUGCUCUCCAUGUAUCACCAAUAAGGAACGAUAGUCGUGCUUGCUUGCCAAGCACACAACCUUCACAUACUUGGCGUGUGGCUUCAAUCUGGGGUAGACCACGAACCAUUCCUCCACUUGACAACAACUUUAGGCCAUUGAAAUGAAGAUGGCCAAAUCAAAGAUGCCAUUUCCAUGACUCAUCUUCCAUUACACCGAUGUUGCAACUCCCAAUCUUUGUGUUCAACUUCAACGGGAACAUUCGGUUCUUUGACAUUUGAACACGUGCAAUAAGUUUUCUCCUUGCAUUUCUGAGAGUGAGAAACAUAUCCUCCAUAUGUAUAAUAUACCCUUUCUGGAGCAGUUGACCAAUGCUCAAAAUGUUGUUCUUCAUACCUGGUAUGUAGUAGGUAUCAGAGAUGUAUUCUUCUCUACCAUCAUUCUGGAUGAUCUUGAUCUUCCCUUUGCCUUCAACUGGCAACUUUGAGGAGUCACCAAGACUCACAGAUCCAUAAUGCCCAUCUUUGAGUUCGGCAAAAAACUCUUUCUUUCCACACAUGUGGUUGCUUGCAUCAGAGUCCAAAUACCAAACAUCUUGUUGGCUACUGAUACCAUGGUGUUCUAGUAAGACUGUAAAUUCCUCACCAGCAUUUCCACUUGAUUCUGCAAUGUUGACAUGCUCACCAUUUUUAUAUGAACAUUCAUUGGCAUAAUGUCUAUAUUGCUUGCAACUGUGACACUGGAUAUGCGCUUUUCCUCGAGUAGAUCUCCAUUCUUGAGAUUGACCUCGGUUUUGUGCAUAGCCUUAACCUCUUCCUUGGGCUCAUCCUUGGCUACGGUUAGAUGAACUCCCACGACGUGAGUUCCACUGCCCACGACCUCCAUUUGGUUUGUCAAUAUUCAACUUUGACUCCAAAGCUUGCUCUAGCGUUGUGGGGCUUGCAUUCUUCUGAAUGAGUUGCUCGUGAACUAGGAGGGAUCCUAGUAGCUCCUCUACGCUCAUCGCCUCCAAAUCCUUGGAUUCAUCAAUGGCAGUCACCAUAUGCUCAAACUUAGAUGUGAGUGAUCAAAGUAUCUUCUCCACAACUUGUACUUCAUCGAGUCUCUCGCCAUUUCUCCUCAUUUGAUUUACUAUCACAAUGAGCCUUGAGUGAUAGUCGGAGAUGCUCUCCCCUUCAUUCAUAUGAGCAGUUUCAAAAUCUGCUCGAAGUAAUUGUAACCUCACUUUUUUGACUCGAUCUACUCCUUUGUAGAUUGUACUGAGUGUGUCCCAUACUUGCUUGCUUGUUGUUGCUUCUGCAACUUUCUGGAACGUUGAAUCUUCCAGACCCUGGUAUAGAAGAUACAGCGCCUUCUGGUCAUUCUUUCGUAAGUCCUUGAGAGUGUUCCUUUGUUCUGCAGUAUAUGCGGCUUCUUGCUCGGUAGUGGGUACAACAUACCCACUACUGACUAUUUCCCAUAGCUCUUGUGAUCCAAACAAUGCUUUGAAUUGGAUGCACCAUCUUUCAUAAUUUUCUUUCUUCAAUGUGGGAACCUGGAGCUGCACUAAGUUGGACGCCAUAACUGCUGCACUUGCCAGAAUGGUAUUCUGGCUCUGAUACCAAUUGUUGGUAUUCACAAGAGUUUACUAACUCAAUACCAAAAUAUGUGGGUGAUAAGUUUACAAACUCUAUCACACCUCUCACCUUGCACUCUCAAUAAAAUUGGACAAACGAAAGGGAAAGAAGUAACAAGCUUGGUGAUAACAAACACUAUGAAAUAUUAGAAGAGUUUACAACUCUUAAAGCUUACAAGCUGAAAAUGAGAAUGGGAAUUGGAUUGAUGUUCUAAAGCCUAGCAAGAAGGCCUAUUUAUACAAAACAUAAAUUGAUAAACAAUACAACAACAUGCAAUGAAUGAUGGUGUUUACCAUCUUUACACCCUUUCAAACACAUGCAGCAACUUUGGAUAGUUGGCACACACAUGCAUUGCAUUAUUCCAGGUUGGAAUCACAACCUUUCGGCUAGCACACAGCAGCUCACAUCUCUGCUGUCUUUCAACACACUUUCAGCUAGCACAUGGAGGAAACUUUAGUCUUUGUAGUUGCAACAAGUGUGAAUACAACAUGUAAAGAAACUAACAGCUAACAGCUGCCAUUUACAACCUGUUUUGAUUUGAAUUUCCAACAGUUGCAGCACAAUAAUAUGAGAAAUCUUGCCAUACAACACUACCAAUUUUAAAGAUCAUACCAAUUUUAAAGAUCAUAACAUGCAGAGAGACAGUGACAUGAUAAUCUUCCAAACAACAAUGGGGUUUAAGGAAUGCAUUUUAGAAUGUUGAUUCCAAGUUGAGCAUAUAGUGAGAAGAAGCUAUCCACAAAAUGUUAACCACCACGUGAUAUUGGAAGAUGGUUUUGACGUAUUGGGUGAUCCAGUAACUAAAGCAAGUUAGAAUCUAAGUUUAAAUCCCUAUCAGCACUAAAGCAUUAUCUUUCAACAUAACUCAUGACUCAAGCUAAUAAAUUUAACAACUACUCUCAGCUCUAAAUCUUAAGAAUAAUCAGAAAUCCAACAACCUUAAAAUAUUUGACCCUCCCCACAACAUAGAAUUGAUGGUUUCCAGACGCAGUAUCAAAUUUAAAAUAGUAUUGCACCAGUAAACCAUUGACUGAUGUACACACAACAUAAAUGGGUGUGCUUGUGAGUGUGACAUAACAUUGAUCUAAGUAAACCUCAUAAACCAAAAUCAAAACCAGUAAACCAUUGCUCCAAUUUUCUCAAAACACAAAAAAUAUUCCUGUAUUUUGCUCUCAUAAAACCCCACACUAAUCUCAAUCUCAUUUAAAACUAUCCUAAGCAGAUAGCCUUGUUGAAAUUUAUUUGGAGAAAUUGAUCAAUUUCGAAUGGGUGGCCUUAUGAGUGUGUGACAUAACAUUGAUCUAAGAAAAUCAAAACUAAUUUAGAAAACACCAAAUAAUGUGGAACUGGAAAUGAUAAUGAGGGGCAGGCAACCCAGCUCAAAAGGAAUAGGCCUUUACAUUCCUUUUCAAUUUCUUUAACUAAAUAAUUGCAAAUGCAUAUUAAAUAUUCAGUGGUAUUUAAAUCACAGGUGUAUACGAAAUUCUAAUGAUCAUAACAAUAUAUCUUCGACCAAAACAAUACAUCAUUUCGUCUCAAAAAACAAUACAUUAUUGGUCAUAACAAAGGUUUUAAAUUCUAAUAAAAACUUAUAUCAAAAUUCGAUUCAAGCAGUGCAUUAAACAAUAACGACAGCACAACAGUACACAAAUGCUCUCAUAAAUGAAUUAAAGAAUUCUAGAUGUUGUGAUGCCUAACUUAGGAUAAGGUCUUGGAGUGGGACUAAUCAACAAAAUAAAUGAUCAAUGUUUAGAGGAGCUUACAUGGAUCUCACAUCACAAAAAUUAGAGCAUGCACCAAAAUCCACAACAAAUAUCACAAAAAUUAGAGAAUGCCCCAAAAUUUGAGGCCCAAUUCUCUAUUUCACAGAGGAGAAAAACCAAAAAUAAGGGUAACAAAAUCACAAUUCUCUGGUAAUAAAAAUUCAACAAUACAUUAACAAAAUUACUGUAACUGAAUAUACCUCAAAAAGCCAAUGGCCCAAUUGCUCCCUCCAACGAUCCAAAUUUCUGAAAUUCACAAACACAGCAAAUCCAUUAGCAAUUUGACAUGAUUAGUACAAUCAAAAUUCAUAGGAACAAACAAACUUUGCGAGCUAAUUAAAUAUUCACACACACUGCACUCACACACACUGCAUACACACACAAACUGAUUAUAGACACAAUGCACAACAUUCACACACACAGUCACAUAUACACUCACACGCACACCCGCACAUACUGUGUCAUACGUACACACACACAAUUCACACAUACACCCAGUGGCGGAUCCAGGAAUCUUACCCCAAGAGGUCGCAGUGUAAAAGUUCAAAUAAAAAUUUAGGAUGGAAAAACAUAUUGAAAAUGAAAUCAUAGUACUUUCAUUCAUAAUUCAUAAUGGAAACAAUAUUACAAACUAUAAUUGUCCACGACGAGGUUUCAUAUUUUGAAAACGAAGCAUUAUAGCUUCAUUUUCAAUACAAGCAAAAAUAUCUCUCUCAAUAUAAACAAGCAAGCUAUCACUCAACCAUUGAUCUCCCAUUUUGUUCCUAAGUAGACCCUUAACAAUAUUCAUGACAGAAAAUGCUCUCUCCACUGAAGCAGUUGCAACUGGUAAAACUAAAGACAAUGUAAUGAGCAAAUAUACAUAAUUGAAUACUUGAUGCAUCCUUGUCUCCACCAUUUUUUUUGCAAGAUCACCAAUCCCUUCCAAUUGAGAGAAAUCACUACUGGAACACACAUAAUGAAUAUAAAUUUCAAGUUGAUCUUCAAGUGCCAAACGAUCUUCAUCCGAAAAGUCUUGAGGAUAAAAUUGAGCAAGACAAAGUAACUUUGGUUUAUCAAAAGCUACAAAUGAAUCUUUCGGACUCAAACAUGCCAUACAAAUAAGCAACUCGGUAUUUUACCUCAUUAAAGCGAUCCUCUAACUCCGUAAUUUGCUCAUCAAUGACAUAAAUAAAGAGCUCCACACGAUAAUGAUGACGAUUUGUCUUUAUUGGAGCAUAACGCCUUGACCUCCCUGGAAGUAUAAAUGCCUCUUCCAUGUUAGGAACAUCAAUAUGAUGUUUUUCACAAAAAGAAGAUACUUCAUCAACCAAUGCAUCGAACCCAUUAUUCCUCAUCCAAUAUAGCUUUUCCUUGCAUGAUUUCACUAAAGCCAUUGCAUUCACAAUUUCUUGAUCUUUCCUUUGCAAUGCUUGUGACAAAUCAUUUGUGAGUCCCAAUAUGACUUUCAUCAAGAAAAGGUGAAACACAAACUCAAAAGUAAGUAUCACUCUCAUUAACUUAUUUGCUUCACCCGCACUUUCAUUGGGAUUAUCAUCAAUAACCAUUUGAAGCACAUGAACCACGGAUGAAAACAUAGAAAUGAUGCUAAUCAAGGUACCAUAGAGAGUUCCAUCGUGUGUCACCGGCACGUUUGAGACUUGUUUCUUGAUUUAAGCCUCGCCCCGUUAUAAGACAAUCAUUUUCAAAAGCUAUCACAAGCUCUUCUUGAAGUUGCCCUCUAAGUGAAUCACGCCGCUUACAAGAUGCUCCAACAUAAUUAACCACACUAUUAGCCGUUGCAAAAAAAGAGGCAAUGUCUAUAUUCUUCUUUGCUACGGCAACAAGAGCUAGUUGAAGUUGAUGAGCAAAGCAAUGAACAUAAUAUGCACAAGGUUGUUCUCUCAAUAUCUUUGUUUUAAGGCCAUUCAACUCACCUCUUAUAUUGCUAACACCAUCAUAACCUUGUCCUCGUAGCUUGGAAAUGCUCAAACCGUUGCGAGAAAACAAUGUGUCAAUAGCAUCCUUUAGUGAACUUGAAGUAGUGUCGGUAACAUGUUGGAUACCCACAAAUCUUUCAAUUACAUGCCCGUUGUCAUCCACAUAACGCAACACCAUAGCCAUUUGCUCUUUCACAGACACAUCACGUGCUUCAUCCACCAAUAUUGAAAAGAAUCUAUCUUUUAGACCAUCCAUGAUAGCAUCAAGUGUUUCAAGGGCACAUGAAUUCACAAUUUCUUUUUGAAUGGAAGGAGCUAGUAAUUUGAGAUUCCCCGGAGCAUUUUCCAUCACAACUUCUCUAACUUUAUCAUUAUUAUCUGCAAGGAAUUGCAAUAACUCCAAGUAAUUUCCCCUAUUGCUUGAAGUGGCACUUUCAUCAUGGCCACGAAAAGGAAGAGCUUGUCGCAAUAAAAACUUAGUGCACUUGAUUGAAGCAAUCAAGCAUGUGCGAUAAGCCUUACGAGCUUGGUCAGAGUGUUUGCUCACUGCCGUUUCAAUAUGUGUAGCUUGAUUCAUCAAAUUUGUAGCAGCUUCUCUAGCCUUAUUAUGAACACUCCCAACCGGUCCAACAUGCAUCUUAAAUCUUUCUCUCCCUUUCUUCCAAUUCUUAAAUCCAUCUCCAGUGAAAGCUUCACUACCCACUUGUUCAAAAUUGGUUUUAAAGAGAUAGCAAUAGAGACAAAAUGCCGCAUCUUUAGAUACACUAUACUCCAACCAAUCAAACUCAUCAAACCAUUGGGGAAUGAAGCGUCGAUUAAUUCCCGACAUAUUAGUUAUUGGGAAAUUAUGACCUCUAGGUUGACAAGGUCCUUUUUGUAGAUAUAAUCUUCGGACCUCAUCUCUCAUAUUAGCAUCAUAAUCUAUUAUUCGAGUUCUUAAUCCAGGAUCCGCUUGAAGAUUACCCAAAACAUCAUCUAACUGACUUUGUCUUGAACUUGGAGUUCUUGAACUACCAACAGUAUUUGAACUAUCAACAUUAUUCGAACUACCCGAACCCGAUGAUGACUUUCUCUUAAAAAACCGUUCCAUAAUAAUGCUACAUAUACAAAAUAUUCAAAAUAAAUACUCACAAUAUAAACAAACCAUAAACAUAAUCAAAAUAAAUAUGAAUUGGAUUUCAAUUAAAUUAAAUAUCUCAUCUUGCAUUCUACAUAUACAAAAUAAUGAAAAUAAAAACUCACAAUAUAAACAAACCAUCAAUAUAAUCAAAAUAAAUAUGAAUUGAAUUUCAAUUAAAUUAAAUAUAUUCUACAUAUACAAAAAUAUUCAAAAUAAAUACUCACAAUAUAAACAAACCAUAAACAUAAUCAAAAUAAAUAUGAAUUGGAUUUCAAUUAAAUUAAAUAUCUCAUCUUGCAUUCUACAUAUACAAAAUAAUGAAAAUAAAAAAUCACAAUAUAAACAAACCAUCAAUAUAAAAACAAACCAUCAAUAAAAAACAAACCAAUAAAAACUCACAAUAUAAACAAACCAUCAAUAAAAACUCACAAUAAAAACUCACAAAAUAAAUAUGAAUUGAAUUUCAAUUAAUUAAAUAUAUUCUAUAUAUACAAAAUAUUCAAAAUAAAUACUCACAAUAUAAACAAAGGGAGGAGAUGGAGUUGGAGCCGCCAACAGGGGAGCAGCAAGGGAGGAGAUGGAGUUGAGGGUUUGGGGGCAGCAGCAGCAAGGGAGGAGAGGAGUUGAGGGUUUGGGGGGAUUGAGUUAGGGUUGGAGGAUGAGAAAACAAAAGAAAUUGGGGCUAUUGAUUGUAUAGGAGUCGGGUAGGAAGGCUGGGACUGGGGGGGACACGGUGGGAAUUUCUUUUUUUUUUUUUUGUUCGGCCUGGCCCAAAACGACGCCGUUUUGGCCAGGUCAUUUAAAAAAUUUUCCUGGGCCAAAACGACGCCGUUUUGCCCGUCUGUUUUGAAAAAAAAGAAGCGCGCGCGAGCGCUGCUUCUUCUUCCUCUUCCUGCCGAGUCUUCGUUCAGGCUUUUUGUCGAACAGUUGGCGUGCGAGUCCGACCCCGACGACCCCAGCUCCAAGAGGUCGCAUAUGGGAGCUUCAAGGUUGUUUCCAUAGUUUCCAAGGGGUCGUGCGACCCCGACGACCCCACUGUGGAUCCGCCACUGCAUACACCGCCAUGAUAAACCACACUGCAUACACUUACACACUCACACAUUCCCACAUACAAUCCACGUGUAUUACUUUGCACACAAAAUCUUUAUCACACAUACACUAUCAUGAAAAACCAUUUUGCAGAUUUGACAUCCAUUAUAGCACAAAUUAGGUUAUGUUCGUAUCUCUUCAAUAAUAAUGUAUACAUUUCCACUUUAGCACAAUUUUGACAUCCAUUCUAGCACGUUACAAAAACUAUUAUCAACAUUUGUGUAUUAAGAGAUAAACUAUAUUCUUAAUCUGGUAUCAAAAUGGUGUUAAUUUGGGCAAAAACAUUUGUGUAUCGUAUAGUUUUUUUUAGCAAAAAUUAACUAUCCAUUCAUUUUAGUAUUUGUAUUAUCUACAGGAAACACAAUACCUAACCAAUUUCAUAAUCAAAUUCAGCAAUGUAUACAUUUCCCUGGUGAUUUUAGUUUACACUACUCUUAAUAUAACAUGGUUCUUUCUUUUUAAAGUACUUUGUAUUAAUUCUUUUGUGAACAAUUACUCAAUAGCAUCUGUCAAUACUUUAAACAAAGAAGGAAUCACUCGAUUUACCCUUCUAGAUUGGGUUGAAUGGUGGCCAAGUGGCCAUUACCUUUUGGCUAUUAAACAAAAAAAAAGAAAAAAAAAAAAAAGAAGGUGAAAGACAAAAUGAUAAGGGAACAUCAUGAUGAAGAGGCAUCAUGAUUAUGUUUGUUGAAAAGAAAAAAUGAAGGUCAUGAUGAUGUUUUUGAAAUUUUUAUUGGGUGUUUUUGUAUUGAUGAAGUUAUCAUCCGAAUGUGAGAGAGGUAGUGAAGGGUGCACCAUUUUUUGUUUUAGUAGCCCAUCUUUGAGAAAGCAAAGAGAGCUGCAGAGAGCAGAAAACUGAGAGCAGAAAAGAAGAAGAAGGUGCUCUUCUUUUUGGUUAGUAAUCACCCACCAAGGUAGUUGUUGUUGUAAUAGCUUUGAGCUUUGUAUAGAGAAGAAAUUAAUCACUAUAUUUCUUUCUCUAUUUGUUUCUUUGGUGUGUGAAAGCUAUUGAUUGUAUUGGGUUAUUUGGGUUGUGAGAUUGCCAACACUUUGUAAACUUCAAUUUGGUUGAUAGUGGAUUAUUAGGUGAGCUCUUACUGCUCCGAGGACGUACUCCAAUUACAUUGACUGUUGAGGAACCUCGUUAAAAUCUUUGUGUCUUUUAUAUUUUGUUCUUGCAUUUUCAUUUGAUAAAUUUCUUGUGGGUUAACUUGAGUUUGUUCCAUAAGGUUUGGUGCUAUCCUAGCACAACAAUUGGUAUCAGAGCACUGGUUGCUCUUGGGUACUGUCUAGUUGCCAAAGAUGUCAGACGGGCAAGAUGAGAAUCCUUUUGGAAGCAGCUCCGGGUUUGCAAGAACUACGGUGCAAAAUGCAAAGUUUGAAGUGGAAAAGUUUGAUGGCACAAACAACUUCGGGAUGGGGCAAUGUGAGGUCAAAGAUGUGUUGGCUCAACAAGAUCUACUUGCCGCUUUGGGAGAGAAGCCGGAAGCUAUGUUGAAGUUGGAAUGGGAGAAAUUAAAUUUGUGGGCUUGCUCUUCAAUUCGGUUGUGCCUUGCAAAAACUCAGAAGUAUUUUGUGAUGCGGGAGACAUUAGCAAGUGUGUUGUGGCAACAAUUAGAAGACAAGUAUAUGACAAAAAGUGCAGAGAACCGGCUACACUUGAAGAAAAAGCUCUACCGCUUCCAAUACAAAGAAGGUACAAAAAUGAUUAGACACCUUGAUGCUUUUAAUAAGUUGAUUGCCGACUUGUUAAAUUUAGAUGAGGAUAUUAAGGAUGAAGAUAAGGCCUUGAUAUUGUUGAAUUCCUUGCCAGACUUUUAUGAGCAUUUUGUUACCACUAUUAUGCAUGGUAAAGAAACUGUGAAAUUUGAAGAUGUGUCAAAUGCCUUGAUAAAUUAUGAAAUGAGGCAUAGAGAAAAAAAUCAUUAUAGUACCUCUGAAGCUUUAUUUGUUAGAGGUAGAUCAUCGGAGAGGAGGUCCUCUACUAGUAGGAAAAAAUCACACUCUCGACCUAGAGGAAACUCUAAAGGUAGAAAAACCUUGGAAAUGGAUGAAUGUGCCUUUUGUCAUAAUAAGGGCCAUUGGAAGAAAGAUUCUCCUAAGUUGAAGACCAAAGGAAAAGAAAGUUCUGAAGCCAAUGUUGCUGAGGUUGAAACAGAUAUUUUUUAUUUUGCUUUAACCACUUCCUCAUCAUUUGAUUGUGCUACUAAAUGGGUGUUGGAUACGAGUUGUACUCAUCAUAUGACUCCUCACAAGGAUUGGUUUUCAAGCUUGAAAGAGUUUGAUGGUGGUGUUGUGUUCAUGGGAGGUGACAAUCCUUGUACAACAAAAGGGAUUGGUACAGUUCGUUUGAAGUUGCAUGAUGGCAUGGUUAAAGAGUUGACAGGUGUUCGGUAUGUACCGAAUUUGAAGAAAAAUCUUAUUUCUUUGGGCACUUUAGAAUCCAAGGGCUUCAGGUUUCAUUCAGAUGGGCAGACAUUGAAAGUUACUUAUGGUGCACUUGUUGUGAAGCUCCUAGAUAUGGCCAUUUGUAUUUAUUGCAGGGAAGCACUGUGACAGGUGAAGCAUCUAUAGUCUUAGAAAAUAUGGGCACAUCCGAUUCUGAUACUACUAGACUGUGGCAUAUGAGAUUAGGCCAUGCCGGUGAGAAAGCUCUACAAGGGCUUGUGAAACAAGGUCUUCUAAAAGGUGCCACAACUUGUAAGCUUGAUUUCUGUGAGCAUUGUGUCUUGGGGAAGCAAACUAGAGUGAAGUUUGGUACUGCUGUACAUUAGACGAAGGGCAUUCUUGAUUAUGUGCAUUCGGAUGUUUGGGGUCCUACAAAGACUCACUCUUUGAGUGGUAGACAUUGGUUCAUGACCUUUGUUGAUGAUUAUUCAAGAAGGUCUUGGGUCUACACUAUGAAACACAAGAGUGAGGUAUUAAACAUUUUCUUGGGUUGGAAGAAAAUGGUUGAGAACCAGACUGGGAGAAAGAUUAAGAUUUUGAGAUCGGAUAAUGGUGGUGAAUACACAUCCAACCCUUUCUUUAAAGUUUGCAAAGAGGAAGGGAUUAUGAGACAUUUUAGUGUCCGGGGAACUCCACAACAAAAUGGAGUUGCAGAAAGAUUGAAUCGAACCUUGCUUGAGAAGGUUAGAUGUAUGUUGUCUCAGUCGGGUUUAAGCAAGUCAUUUUGGGCAGAGGCAGUUAAUUAUGCAUGUCACAUCAUCAACCGGUUACCCUCAGCUGCUGUUCAGGGUAAGACACCAAUGGAGGUAUGGACUGGAAAACCUUAUUCUGAUUAUGACUAUAUCCGUAUUUUUGGUUCACCUGCUUAUUUUCAUGUGACUGAAAAUAAACUUGAUCCUAGAGCCAAAAAGGCUAUCUUUCUUGGUUUUAGUAGUGGUGUCAAAGGUUACAGGUUGUGGUGCCCAAAGAUGAAAAAACUUGUAAUCAGCAGAGAUGUGACAUUUGAUGAAUAAAGUAUGUACAAAGACUUUGAGAAGAAUGUGAAAGAUGUCCAACAGGUGGAGCUUGAGAAGUUGCCUCUGGUACUUCAAAUCCUAUUUCCGCUGAUGUCGAAGCCACUACAAGUGAAGAAGUUGGAGACCAUGAGGAUGUUGAAGAAGUUGAACUUGAAGAUUCUAUUCAAGUUGAAGAGCAAGUUUCACCUCAAGAGUCUAUUGUAAAGAACAGAGGAAAGAGACAAAUUACCAAGCCAGCUCGGUAUAGUGACUAUGUUGCUUUUGCUCUUCCUAUUAUCAUUGAUGAUAUUCCAUCCAAUUUCGAGGAAGCCAUUGAGAGUGAGGAGAAGAAGAGGUGGUGCAAUGCCAUGAGUGAUGAGAUGAAUUCUCUCUUGAAGAACAAGACUUGGGAGUUAGCUAAAUUGCCUAAGGGCAAGAAAGCUAUCGGUUGGAAAUGGGUGUAUGCCAAGAAGGAAGAUGCUGAUGAGAAAAGCAAUGUAAGAUUUAAAGCAAGAUUAGUUGCUAAAGGGUAUGCACAAAAGGAGGGCAUUGACUACAAUGAAAUCUUUUCUCCAGUUGUGAAGCACUCCUCAAUUCGCAUUAUGUUAGCUCUUGUUGCACAGUAUGAUCUUGAGCUUGUGCAACUUGAUGUGAAGAUGGCUUUCCUAUAUGGUGAUUUGAAUGAAGAGAUCUAUAUGUGUGAACCGGAUGGGUAUACAGUGAAAGGGAAUGAGAAUUUGUUUUGCAAAUUGAAUAAAUCACUUUAUGGCUUAAAGCAAUCUCCAAGGCAAUGGUAUUUGAGGUUUGAUAAAUUUAUAAGAGGCCAAAAUUAUUCUAGAAGUCAAUAUGAUCAUUGUGUGUACUUCAAGAAGUUGCAAGAUGGGUCUUUCAUUUAUUUGUUGAUAUAUGUUGAUGAUAUGUUGAUUGCCUCAAAGAAUGUCGAAGAGAUUGAGAAAUUGAAGAAGCAAAUGAAGAAUGAGUUUGAGAUGAAGGAUCUUGGUGAAGCGAAGAAAAUCCUUGGCAUGGAGAUCACUAGAGAUAGAUUUGGGGGUUGAUCAGAAGCAGGUGGAGGUACAUUGUGAUAGUCAGAGUGCCAUUUAUUUGGCUAAGUAUCAGGUUCAUCAUGCGAGGACCAAGCACAUAGAUGUGCGUUAUCACUUUGUUCGUGAAAUUGUUGGUGAAGGGGAAAUCAUUCUCCAGAAGAUUCCAACUAAAGACAACCCCGCUGAUAUGUUGAAAAUGAUGAUGGAACAUCAUGAUGAGGAGGCAUCAUGAUUAUGUUUGUUGAAAAGAAAAAAUGAAGGUCAUGAUGAUGUUUUUGAAAUUUUUAUUGGGUGCUUUUGUAUUGAUGAAGUUAUCAUCCGAAUGUAAGAGAGGUAAUGAAGUGUGCACCAUUUUCUGUUUUAGUAGCCCAUCUUUGAGAGAGCAAAGAGAGCUACAGAAAGCAAAAAACUGAGAGCAGAAAAGAAGAAGAAGGUGCUCUUCUUUUUGGUUAGUAAUCACUCACCAAGGUAGUUGUUGUUGUAAUAGCUUUGAGCUUUAUAUAGAGAAGAAAUUAAUCACUAUAUUUCUUUCUCUAUUUGUUUAUUUGGUGUGUGAAAUCUAUUGGUUGUAUUGGGUUAUUUGGGUUGUGAGAUUGCCAACACUUUGUAAACUUCCAUUUGGUUGAUAGUGGAUUAUUGGGUGAGCUCUUACUGCUUCGAGGACGUACUCCAGUUACACUGACUGUUGAGGAACCUCGUUAAAAUCUUGGUGUCUUUUAUAUUUUGUUCUUGCAUUUUCAUUUGAUAAAUUUCCUAUGGGUUAGCUUGAGUUGUUUCCAUAAGGUUUGGUGCUAUCCUAGCACAACAGAUUGCAUUUCAAGUUAUACACCAUACCUGAAUGAAUUUUCUAGAUUGCAUUUCCUAUAUGAAUUCUGUAUUUAGGCAGUAAACUGUUGGAUAUAACCAAGGUCCUAAUUCCUAAUCACUUUAAUUGAUCAAAGUGGCCAAGCAAAUCUUCUUGCAGUUUGUCUUUGAAAAAAUCCUACUUGGAGUAAAAAUAAAUAGUAGUAAGUUAUAGCAUAACCAGUAAAUUGAAUUUGACCUACAAAAAAACAAUUUGACCACUGCACAUAUAACUCCAUAAAUUACUUACCACAUCAACCUUGAGAGGUCCAACAUGUCUAAAAGUCGCAAAAACUUUUCCAUGUUCAGCUCUAAUCACCUACAAACACUGAAAAGCAGAGGAAAACAUAUAAAUUCAUUAAAAUUCUCUACCCACGGAUAAGUUAAAAAUCGAAAGCACUGACCAUUCCAAGGAAAAGAGCAGCCAUUAUUAGGAUCCAAAACUCAUUCCUUAGUCUCCUCAUCUGGGUACUCGACUCCGUAAUCUUUGCUUUAUUUCCAUUAUAUAUACACACUUUGUCAUUAUAUAUUUUUCUAGAAAAAAACCCUAAAAGUUAGACGAUUCUAAUCACUGAAAUAGAAUGAAAAUUAAACUUUUUGGAGAAAUAAAUAUUUUAAUAUGUAUAAAAAAGAAAUUAAAAGAGAAAUAAUCAAUUUUUUUCUAAUUCUUAGAACACCAUCAUCAGCCUAAUUGGCAGAAAUCAAAGUAAUUACACGCUUGACCACUUAAUCAGCUUAAUCACAGAAUAAAAUUAAGAUCCCUCAAUUCCUUCCACCAUAUUUUUGCACACAUGCAGUUCUCCCUAUAAAAAUUCCAGAAAACUCAUUAUUAGGAGAGAAAUAGAAAAGGACUUUUAGAAGUUGUCUAUGAAGCAAAGGAAUCCAACCCAAAAUGUAUGUGUGCAACUCAUUGGAAUCAAAUCAAAUCCAAUAACAAUAAUAAAUGACUUCUUACCUAUAAGUGGUAAAACCAUUUUACCAACUUAGGAAACCCCUGCCCAAAUGAUUUGUAAUUGAUAUAAUUUAAAUGGAACCAAUAUGGAAUGAAUAGUAAACAACUUAAACCACUGGACGAAGUCAAAGACUAUGUACCUGUUUUCACGUUUCAUACUGGAUUCAGUAAAUCUCUUUAAUAAGCUGCUUACUCGCAAUUGGAUAAACUUAAUUUGGAGGCUAAAAAUUAUCUGAAAAGUAGUUUCAAAUGGCAUCUGAUAACUCAAACAAACAACGGAGAACACAUUCAAGAAAAAGAAAAAGAUGACAUGAGAGUCGAAGUUACCAAGUAUGUGCAGAUGGCAAGUAAUCUACGCCUUGUGCAACAAAAAUUUAUGUGAGCCCGAGAUCCCUUGAAGUGCACCAAAACCUUUUAAAAGCACCUGGACAAUAUGAGCAACACUGCUCAGAUUACAUCUUAUACAACAAAUACAGUAGAUAUCAUAAUAUAUAGCGAAAUUGUCACAGCCCGUCCCGGAGAUGUGCAUUAUUUUAUUCUCGAUGACGUGAAAUGACGGUUUUAUCCUUAGACGUUGAGACUAUAGUGUAUGUGUGUGACAUAUUAUGAGACUUAGAGGUUAUUUUUUAUUUUUGGAUUGGUGACCCACGUGGACCACACACACACCACACUCACUCAUUCUCUUCUCUCCCGUACUCUCUCAUCUAUCUCGGACUCACUCUCUCUUUCUUCUUCCUCGUACGGACCAAGCUCGAGGUGAGCUUCCCAGUCACAGAUCGAAGAUUCUAAAGGCACCAUUGCAUUCCUCGUGCCAUUUCGAGUUGGUUGGUACCCAUUUCAGGUAAGGAUUCCUUCGAAAUCUUGAGAACCCGAAACUCAUUUUUCAUGCACUAUUCAUGUGGACGUAAAACCUUAUGUUUCAGAGGAUUUCAAGCUCACAGGGAGCUUUAGGAGGUCCUAAGGAAGCUUAGGGUAGUUCGUUGGAAGAGUUUGGAUGUCGGAAGGCCGAGAUCGAAGUUUUUCAAAGUUGACCAGAUUAUCGAGCUUCCUCAGGUAAAUUCUAGUGGAUUUCAAGGCUUAAAAAUAGUAUAACGUGAUUCUACAUGUUAUUAGCUUCAUUUUGGUAACAAUUUUAUGAACAAUGGUGAAGAAAUGAAGGAGAAUAGUAGUUUUGAAGUUUUACCCAGAAACCGGCGAAGUCAUCGGCGACCGGCAACUCGCCGGAGAAGAAAGGAGCAUAUUCCGUUAAGGUUAACGGAAUAUGCUAACGCCGUCAAUUAGAGUUAACUGUUACCGUUAGGUUUUAAUGGAAUAUUCCUUAGAAUAUUUCUAACGGCAUUGACUGACGCCGUCAGUGUGCAUGUCACGUGGCCGCGCGUGGGGGCGCGUAGGGCCGUGCCCUUGCCGGAGCGUGGCGGCGCGUGAGGGGUCAGAAAAAUAUUCUAAAAAUAUAGGGAUGAUCCUGAGGUUGUGUAGGUCACUGUGGUAUAUUCAUAUACCCAUUUUGAGCAUGGUAUGAGAAGUUAUUAGCUAGUUUUGUCCAUACGCUCUAAAAUAACAUUUUUAUAGUUAAUUCACAUAUAGGUGCGACUUAUCCCAAGGACGAGCGUAUCCAAGGGCGACUCGGGGGCUACGACCCUUUGACAUACCAGUGAGUGGGCUUUUGGUUUUCAGUAUAUAUUUAUAUACCAGAUAUUUUCCCAGAAAUAUGUGUUUAAAUGAUAGUAUGCCAUAAAUGCCAUGCAUAUAAGUCUAUAAUUCAUAUAUGAAUUGGUAUGUGAUGCUUUAUAUAUAUAAAUGUGGUGCCGUGGACGCUCAGGUAAGCUCAGGUAAGUUAUGUUUGGUUAUGUGAAUCAUCGAUGAUGUGAUAUGGGAUUGAAUAACGUUGAGCUCAUAAAACUGCACCUAGAGUGAUUAUGAAUUAGCCAAAGAUAUGGCACAUGCCUAUUUAUUAUGUCACCUCCUGCACCAUAUGCUCAUAUUGGAUCCAAUUUAGGUGCACAGUUUUGUCGUACAGACCUUAUUUAUGGUUCUGACACGUAGGUGACUAGUGAUGUAUCGCCCAUCUAUUAUGUGAGAGUAGUAUUGAGCAUGAUUAUAUUACACCCAUUAUUGUCGUACAGACCUUUGCAUUUGGUUCCGACUCUUGUGCAGUAUAUUGCCGUAUAGGUCAUUGUAGUGACUCCGGCUAGAUUGACUUUGAGCUAUGAAUUUAGCCGUACAGACUACCACAUGGGUUUCGGCUAACAUGUUAUAUUUCUAUGAAAUUAUUCUUACCUGAAUUGCUUACUCUGUUAUAUCUUGGCAUGGCAUACAUAUGAAUAUGAUUAUGUGAAGCAUGAUUUGAAUUGAUAUAAUUACAUAUAUAUUUAUGUAUAUGCUUAUAUCUUGAUUCUGGGAAAAAUUAUACUUGUUUUACAGCGAGGGGUUAGAUAUGUUGAUAAAUGAAAUGGUUUUGUAAAACAUUUGUUUUGCCCCAUUCACGUUUUCUGUUUUACGCCCUUCCAGGUUUUAGUAAGCUUGAUGUUGGUGGCUUUGAGGACUUUGGCGGUUCUGACAUAUCUAAAUAAUUGUAGGACAUCUUAUGGUACUGUAUAACUAGUACUGGUCCUACUGGACUGCACCUAGACUUUCUAUGCUCUGAUUAGGAGUGUUUACUUCUGUAUCUUACUCAUAAUACUUUCGGUUUAGUAGUGCACUCUAGUAGUUCGGUUUUUAAUUAUUCAUAUAUUUCUUAUCAUUAUUGCUUCCACACUGUGCACAUGGCUACGUCACUCUCACGUGACGGCCAACAUGCCUUGAUCUUGGUCGGGGUGUGUCAGAAAUUAUGUCGAAAAAUUUAACGAAAAAUUCAUACAUAAUUGCAAAAAAAUAAAAAUAAUAAUAAUAGUAACAAUGUGGUUAUUUGACCUCUUUCAUUAUUUAAAGCCGCCGCAGAAGAGCUCUGCCGUUUAAGAUCCUCGCACCAGAGCCCUCUUCAUGUCUGCCAUCCUUUCGUUUUUGUCUCCAUUUUAGGGCAUUCACACAAAAACUGUUAUUCACAUAUUAGCUUUCAUAGUUUCACGGAUCCAUCUUAUUUGGACUUCAAUAUAGACAGAGGUGCAUAUCUGUACCUUUGACAUUCGGCCAUGAAAAUGAAUGAAAGGGAGAGGUGGACGUGUUUUACCUUUAUUGGUCUUGGGAUUUGAGGAGUCCUUCGUGAAGGUGGAGUCGUCAAUGAUGAGUGCAGAGCCGAUCUCUCUCUAGCCUUCCCCUCAACCUCACCCCCCGGGCAACCAUACCUCCCCAUCUCUCUCUCUGCAGCAAACACGCGUCACUCUCCUAGAACCUUACCCCCAAAUCGAUCAUGACCGCACCCACCCUCUCACCUUCUCUCCCCGUAAUCCCGCACCCAAACCCCACUCUGUCCACCUGGAACCCCUCCCGUCAACCCUUUCUCUACCUGCAACCCAUCAACCCCUCUGUGAACCAUGCCUCUACCGACGUCGACAGCAACCACCCCAAAACACAUAAUGACAACCCAUCAACCCCUCUGUGAACCAUGCCUCUGCCGACAUCGACAGCAACCACCCCAAAACACAGAAUGACAAAAGUGCCUCCAAAUCUUGUCCAUUGGAUUUGGAUUGAAGCGGGCAAAAAAGUCAUUUCGACUCUUUCUGUGCAACCCAGCCCAACACAUUGGACAACCCACUUCUGAAGCCCACACCUGUCCCAAAAUAGGCCCAAAUUGGGCCCAAGGCACCCAAACCUACGGACAAUAUUACCCUCCUAACUUUUAGUAAUUACCUCAGCCCAACACAGAUUUAGUGGCAGUAGUAUGCAAAUAAAGCAAAAUCAAGGGGCAAAAAAAUUGACUAUAGCUAAGCUACAGUCAAUUUCUCCUCAAUUUUAGAAUAGAUAAUUUCAAUAGUGUAGCUAACAGUUAGCAUCAUUUUAUACAUGUUGAAGAAUCUUCUACAAUUUCAGGACUCAGAAGAAUGGAUUGCAGACAAGAAUACGUUGGAAAAGAUAGGGAAGAGAUGAAGUUACCAUUGUUCGACUUGACCACCAUAGCUAAAGCCACUAACAACUUUUCAAGCUACAACAAGCUGGGAGAAGGUGGCUUUGGACCUGUGUCCAAGGUAACAUGAAUUCAUGCAACGAAAAUUAGCUAUAUUGCUAUAAAAAAUUUAAGUUUUUUCGAAAUGAUGGUCCACAGGGUACAUUGAUAGGAGGAAACGUAAUUGCAGUAAAGAGGCUUUCAAAGAAUUCUGGACAAGGAAUAAGAGAGUUCAGAACUGAAGUUAUACUCAUAGCCAGAUUUUAGCAUCGCAAUCUUGUUAAGCUUCUUGGUUGUUGCAUUAAAAAAGAUGAAAAAUUCUACUAUAUGAAUUCAUGCCCAGCAAAAGCUUGGACUUCUAUAUUUUUGGUAUGAUCCUUCAUUUUCAACCUUAUUUACCUAGGAUUCAAUGUGCCAUUGAAAUAACAGGCUUAAAGUUUUUUCAGACCAGAAGGGACAAAAAUUGUUCGACUAGCCUAAGUGCUUCCACAUUAUCGGUGGAGUUGCCCGAGGGCUUCUUUAUCUUCACCAAGACUCUAGAUUAAGGAUUAUACAUCGAGAUCUGAAACCUAGCAAUAUUCUGCUAGAUGAUAAUAUGAACCCGAAAAUUUCAGACUUCGGCCUGGCUAAAACAUUUGGCGGUGAACAAAGUCAGGCCAACACAAAUAAAGUGGUUGGAACCUAGUAAGCAUGCUUAGACUUGCUUUGUGGUUUAUAAUUUUCAUUGUUCUGCUUUUGAAAUUCUUUCUCACUGGUCACUACAUAUUGAUCUGGCAGUGGUUAUAUGUCUCCGGAAUAUGCAACAGAUGGAAUUUUUUCGAUGAAAUCUGAUGUGUUUAGCUUUGGAGUCAUACUGCUCGAGAUGUUGAGUAGGAGAAGAACAGGGGAUUUCGUCAUCUAGAUCACGACCACAACCUUCUUGGACAUGUAAGUUUAACCAACGAGGUGAUGAUAUUUUACUUUAAAAAGAAUAGUGAAUUAGACGGUGCUCUUCGAAGCACGUCUUCUAAUGACAUGCAUUUGACAAUACCCCUUUUACAUAUUAGCCCACUAACAUAUCAUACAUGUUUCAAUUUGUUUUAAGGCAUGGAUAUGAUGGAUUCAAGAUAAACCACUAGAACUGAUCAAUAAGACGUUUUGUGGUUCGUGCAACACAUCUGAAGUGGUAAGGUGUCUUCAUGUGUGGCUGUUAUGUGCGCAAAGAGUACCUGAGGAUAGACCAAGCAUGUCAUCUGUGGUUCUGAUGUUGAGCAGUGAUGUUGCCUUGCCGCCUCCAAAGCAGCCCGGUUUUUACACUGAACAAAGUGUCCCUAAAUCACCAUCAAGGACGCUUCUUUGUUCAGAGAAUACUUUCAGCACUACGUUGGUAGAACCUCGGUAGAUCAUCAUUGCAGUGCUUGUUAGUCCUUCAAUCUACCAUCACAAAACGUGUUUGGAAGGUUGACAUGAAGCUUUUAAUCUUAGCUGGCAAACAAUGAGACGUGUGAUUAUAACUCUGCAAGAAACAUAUUUAUGAUUACAACUUUAGGAGUUCCAGAUAAUAACUGAUAUAACAGAAAUGCCACAUGACAUUAUUCUAGUGGUUAAGUUUGUUAAUAUAGUUAGAAGGGUAUUAUUGUAAUUGGGAUAUAUGGCUAUAUAAGAGAUGGUAUAGCUAUCAUUUCUUUAAGUUCUUUUGUAUACAUUUUCUCCAUUUUAAUCAAUACAAUCUUUCUGGUUUUUCUCUCUAUCAUCUUCAUCUUCCUUUGUACCAAUUCUUCAUCUUUUACAAUGUAGUUAAUAUGGUAUCAUAGCCACCAAGGCUCACGCCAUGAAUCUUGGUGGUCGAUUCCUCUUCUAUUUUUUUUUUCUUCAUUACUUUCUUUCGUUUCCGCGUAUUUGAUCGAAGAGGGAAGACUUGAGAGAAUCGACGUUGGAGAGGAGAGAUCGAAGGUCGUCGACGUCCUCUUCCAAAGCGUAAACAGUGUCUUUGAGGCUGAGGCGGCUCUGCUCCUCAGCUUGGUGAGUCAGAACCUCGGUCAAUUGGUGAUUGACAAGCUUCGUCGGCGAGGCAGCAGGAAGAGGAUCUCCACCAGCCAAUCGCCGAACUCCUUAUUGACCUUCCGUUCGAUGUGCCACCGAAUAUCUGGAAUCUUCUUCUCCAUCAUCUGCUUGAGCAUAGAAUCGCUCCCUGCCCCUGUGAUGCCAUUCGAUUUCGCUCAAGAACUGCAGUUUCAGAUUUUGUCGUUCAGUUCAUUCUGUAUUUUCUGGGUAAAUUUUUGUUUUGGGUUGUGAUCAGAGAUCAUCGGUGUUAUGAUAUCUUGGUCUUUGGAAUUGUGGCAAAUUUUUCUUCGUCUGAAGCUUGAAUCUUGCUCCUUCGGGCCAAAUUAGAAGUGGGAACUUCUUGAUUCUUGAAUUCGGGAAAGGAAAAUUUUCUAGGGAAAUGUCAGAUUCCGGGAAAGGAAAAGCAUCAGCUUCUAGGCAAGUGUUCGAUUCCGUUGAAGGAAAGUAUGAUCGUUAUGUUCCUGGGUUGAAAGAAAGUACGACGGCGGUGGCCUCUCUCAGGUGCCGAUUCUGAAUUCUGCAAGUAUAAGAUGGGUCCAGACCAACACUCUAGUUCGAUUUAGCGAAAUGAAUUCUACAUCGGUGCUUAUAAAGAUGGUUCUAUUUGGAGGACCAACAAGUUUAUGGAUAUUUGCAUAGGGCUGAUGGUUGCGCUUGCUGAUGGCGGCGACGAGCAUUGCGGCUUGAUAGCGUAUGCUUGUUGAGAAUUUUUCGAACUGUUUUUGCUUCUUGUGAUAUUUUAGUGGAAUUGGCUGUGAAACAAUUUGGGUAUUGCAAAUUUUUUUGUGGAUUGUUUGUUCAAGAUUGCAACUAUUGGGAGCUCUUCCGGUUCUGAUUCUGUGCACUCCAACUGGUUGAAGAAAUGGGUCAGUGAAUUAUGUGAUCUCUACUCUAUUCUUUGGUACAGAAGAAAGAUUAGACAUGGGUGCAAUCCUGGUGUUUGUCGAAUUACCCAACUCAAAAGUUUCAUGUGAAGGUUAUAUUUGGUUUCUUGGUUAAUAGUAUUAGUUUUCUUGUCAAUUUAAAGAAGAAAGUGUCAUUCUUUCUAUGAAUUUUGGAGUUUCAUUCUCCUAAGUUGCCGUAUGAUUUGGAGUUUCAUUCUCCUACGUUGCAGUAUGAUUUGUGUUCAUGGAGUGUCAGUCUCCUUAUUUGGUAUUUUUAGUAGAAGUUUGAGAUUUGUGUUGUGCUUUGGAGUAUCAUUCUCCUUGGCUGAUUUGGUUUGUUGGAGUGUCAUUCUCCUUGGUUAAUUUGGUUUUUUUUGGAGUGUCAUUCUCCUUGAUAGAUUUUGUAUGGCUUCUCAGUUCACAGUCGAAAAUUUGUUGGGUGUGUUAAGGAUAAAGCUGGAUUGUACUUGUGGUUUUCAUCAUGGCUUCACCAACGGCAACAGUUGUAGUCUUGUGUGAUGAUAAUGGGGUGCGCAGAGGUUUUUGGUCAGCAGUUACAUGGGGUGAGCAGAGGUUUUUGGUCAGCAGUAACAAAGGUGUCAGUGGGUGCUUUCUUGUUUGCAGCAGGUUAAUUCUUGAAGCACAGAUCAGUCUCAAAUACUGGCUAGUUCAAACUUCACUUGGAUAUUCCAAGUUUAGUUUGAGGGGGAGUAAUAACUGAUAUAACAGAAAUGCCACAUGACAUUAUUCUAGUGGUUAAGUUUGUUAAUAUAGUUAGAAGGGUAUUAUUGUAAUUGGGAUAUAUGGCUAUAUAAGAGAUGGUAUAGCUAUCAUUUCUUUAAGUUCUUUUGUAUACAUUUUCUCCAUUUUAAUCAAUACAAUCUUUCUGGUUUUUCUCUCUAUCAUCUUCAUCUUCCUUUGUACCAAUUCUUCAUCUUUUACAAUGUAGUUAAUACCAGAAGCAAAACAAAGAAACGAUUUGGGGUCGUUAGGUUGAAGAAAAUUAAGUUAUAGCUAAAGUUGUGUUUAUUAUUUAUAUACUUUAUUUUAUUAUUUCAUAAGAAUAUAAAAAUUUCAUUGAGAAGUAGAUCAUGCAUAAGUACACAGGAAGUUGGAGACGAGCCUUCCUCCAACAACACUAUAAACUCCUCGAAAGGAAUUGCCAUAUUUGGCUAAGAUCACAAAAUGUAAAGCUUUAUGGAUCGCGGUCCAUGCACUUAGGUCUAGUUCGGGUAUUUGAUCGAACCAGGCAGGCUAUUUGUAAAUGGCUGGAAUUCACACUCGAGUCUGGUUCGAGACGUUUGAUGGUUAGAUUUGAUCAAAAGAUGUAAUUUGUGAAACAAAAGUGAGUAAUUGCUUCAUGAUACUGGGGAGAGAGGUGUUUGUCAUUUAAGCUUCUUUGCCAAUCCUCUAUUGGUAGAAAAAAUUCAGUACAGGCAUUUGGACCACAUGGCCAUCUUCCUGCAAACACAAAUAUCACACUAAACUAAGGCAGUUGUACCGCAAUUUCUCUCCAUCCGAGAAGUGGUUAAGUUCAUCGGCUAGCUGUCAACUUAGUUUAUCCUUGAGACCAACUUUUCAAACCAUGGGACCCAAAGUCUUACAAAAAAAAUAAUAAAUGGUAAAGGAAAAAAACCCUUGAAAGAGAGUUAAUAUUCUUCUUCCAACUCCUGUGCAUAAAUGAUGUACAAUUUCACUUGAUUUUCUAGUAACUUAUUAUUUAAGUGACUUGAUAUUCAACUAAUCUUGCAACCUCAAUAUAGCUAGAAUAAUAGGGUCUUAAGUCUGAUUGACCAAUUACGUAAUCACUGUUUAGUAAGACUUAUUAUGGUGGGACAUGAAAUAUAUAAUUGUGGUUAUGAGUAUUUCUCAUGUGAUAAUAGGGUUGAUUGAGUGAUAUCCUAGCAACUAUAUAGUUUGGAGAGAGUAGAAGACAUUCUUAUACAUGCGCCGAUUCCUCUCUACAUAUAAGUUAAUUGUAAUUCGUUUAUUGAAUUAUUGGUUUAUUAAAUCUGUGAUCCUAAUGUCUUAGUUAUUGUGAUUUCAGAAUAUAUCUUACACAAUCUUCAAUUAACACACAAUAUUUGUUUUAAUUAUUUUUAAGGCAUGGACAUUAUGGAUUCAAGAUAAAUAGCUUGAACUGAUCGAUAAGACGCUUUCAGAUUCGUGCAAACAAAUCUGAAGCUGUAAGGUGUCUGCAUGUGGGGCUGUUAUGUGUGCAAAGAGUACCUGAACGAAGUGUCCCAAAUCACAAUCAAGGAUACAAUUAACAAGAAAAUGUUUGAAUUGUGAAUAAUGUAAGAUAAAAUAUAUAAUGGAGAAGGAAAGUAGUUCAUGCUUAAACAACAUGUAUAGGAGGUUGGAGAAGCAAGACGAACAUUUAUCCAACAGCAAUGAAAUAUGGAGGUUCACCAAACCUGUCACUUUGUAACCCAAAGCAUGCAAGCCGGUGAGCAACUUCGUUGGCUUUUGGCAACAGAUAUGGAUAAAAUCUUCUCCAGUGAUCCCAAAUGACGUCGAGGUAAGACAAAUAAGAACCCAUUGAUGCGUCCAUAGAAAGAUGAAUAAGAACCCAAAUGACGUAGAGCUAAGACGAUCUAAAAGUAAAAGAGUAACACAAACACUGCUAAAUUUUUACACUUCAACUGUUUGAGUAAUUGAUGAACUUAAAUUUUAUACUUAAUCUAAAUAAAAAAGUUGACAAAACUAAUAAAGUUCUUAAAUUGUUAUAAUUAUUAAAAUAUGACCGAAGUGGAACAUAUCAACCUGAACGAGAUAUUUUUCUUGUACCUGAAACAUCGACAUUGAAAAAUAUACCUUAAAUGGAACAUAUCAAAUUUAUUGUCCACUUGUUUAUAAUAUGUGUUGUACCAUGGUUGUGUGGGAAAAUGCAUCUUAAUUUAUCAUGGUUGUGGGAAAAUGCCUCUCGUAUUUUAUUUUGACCUAAUUUUCACAAGUUGAGUACCGUUAUGUGUAUCCUCUGUUUGUUUUGUUUAGGUAUACAAUUUGUAGGUGUGGAAUUUGGACUGAUAUAUGCUGGCUUUGUUUUUGGGGUUGCCUCAGUUCAUAAUUAUGGUUGCUAGUUGCCUUAAUUCAUGGUACCUCGGUGUACUAUUAACCUCUAAUGCUUUUCUUGGUUACUUGCUGCCUCAAUACAUUGUUGCCUUUGUUUUUUUUCGCAAUUUUCCCCAAUUUGUUGCUCAGUUAUCCUGAUACCGGGAUUUAGGGUUAUCUCAGUAUAUUGUUGCUACAGUUUAUGGUUUUCUUGGGUUAUCUUGAUACAUUGAGUCAUUGUUGCCUUGGUAUAUUUUUGUGGAAGUCAAUAGUUGCCUCAAGUAUUUUGAUGCCUCAUCCAUGGUUGCCUCGGUUGUAUAGAUGCCUCAAAUAGUGCUUGUCUCUGUUUAUUGUUGGUUUCAGUUAUGGUUUCCUCAGUUGUAUUGAUGCCUCGAUUUAUUGUUGAUUUCUAUUAUAGUUGCCUCAGUGCUUCGAUUAGUGUAACACUUGGAUAUAUAUAUAUAUAAAUUAUAGGAGUAAGAUUAUUUUAGUUAAAAAAAAAAAACAAAGAAACAAAUAAGGAUGAGCUAACGUGUAGCCAUCCCCCAUUUUUCUUCUUCUUCCCAACCAUCACACGGUGGGUGAGCCAAGGAAUCAGAUUCUGUCCAUAAAUGUUUGGGGUGAUGUGGGUAGUCUAGGGGGUGUGAGUAAGCAUUCUAAAUCAGGAGAGGCAAUGAUAGGCUUAGAGGGAGUAUUUCCAACUCUCACUGAAGAAUUAGAGGAGAGUGAGAGGUUUUGGAAAGGGAAAAGUAGGAAAUCGGAAGAGGGAAGCUGAGAGGGUGCUGGUGUGUUCUUCAAUUGGUACAAAAGGUUAGCUUAAAUUUGUUAAAUUUCUAUUUUCUUACCUCUGCAACCUUGAUUUCUAGAAAACAGCAGUUUCGUGAACCUCACUUUGGCUCUUGUUUCUUCUCAAUCCAUUUCAUCUUCUUAAAGAGUCUUCUUAUAUAUUUGAAAUUAGAUAUGACAAGGAUCAAAGCCCAAUUUAUUUCAUCGUUUUUGGUUGAGAUCUUCUAUGGAAAAAUAUGAUUUGAAAAUGUGAAAAAAAUCUGGAAAUCUUCAGAUUUUCUGCAGAAAAACUGGUUGUGAACUCAACUUUGGAACUUGAUUAUUUUCUUCUCUUAAAUCCAUUUCGAGAAACUCUUGUAGAUUAGAAACUAGGUUUGUUAAGCUUUAAAAUCCAAGUAAUUUCAUCCUUUUACAUGGAUUUUUGAGGGAUGAAAAUAGGGUCACAAUAUGGGGACUUAAGCUUGGUUUUUCACGGGGUUGUGAUGGGUAUAUUUGGGUAAAUCUUUUGUUAGGCUGAAAUAGAAUUUUCAUUCCAGUUUUAUGCUAACUUUUACUAUUAUUUAUGUGAUGUUAGGCCUGGGAGUGACUACGGACACUUCAGAGGCUUAGAGAGGUAUUAUAGUUAGCUGGACAAGAGGUAGGGGCUCUAUUUCCCGAUGAUAGAUCUAUAUCAUGGUUAAUCUUUGUGAUAUUAGUAAUUAUAUCUAAUACAGUAGUAAUGAAAUGCUUGGGUGAAAUUGAAUCAAUUGAUUGUCUUGGUUGUUAGGGUUGAUGGUUUCUUUUUCGGUGUAUUAUAUAUAUUGACUAUGUUAAAUGUUGUUAUGUUUUGAUGAAUGGUUGAGUUAUAUAAAAUUGUUGGACUGACUAUGUUGAGGUUUACAAUUGUGUUUGUUAAAUUGAAAUGCUCAGGUUGCAUUAUAUGUUAUAGAGUUAAGUGUUGGGUUGUGUAAACUUGGUUAAGCAAAUUGUUGAAAACUUGUAUAUGUUCAAGCGUAGGGUGAAGGGCUUGAACGUAUAGUUGGGCGUCGGGAGAAAGGCCCAUGUUAAUGAAACUGAAACUACUAAUAAAAUUCGGGGUUAAGGGAGGAAUGGGAGUUAAUUUAUAUUUUAUGGUAUUCGGAACCAAGUGGUAUAAGCAUGGUAUGGGACGUGCAGGUUUGGAUGCCAUAAAUAUAAGUUAGCGGGAUUAGAAGGGAGUGAGUUCAUGUGUACUUCUUUGUCAUAUCAUUUGUAUUUUACCGGAUUAUUUGAUGCGUGGUACUUUGAUUAACUAUGAUAAAUGAGCUUGAAGGACAUAUGGUUCCUACUGGGCAUGAAAUGCUCACACCCUAAUAGGGUGACCUAUUAGCUAUUGCAGGUACCAUUAUGGAAGAACAUGAGGAUGACCUGUCUCUAAAUGAAUAGUCAUAUCAUAUGUGUGCUGGUUUCCUAGUUGUGCUUAAAAUAAAGCGUCCUAGUAUCUGAAGAGUGUGUUGUAAGAGUUGAUGUUAUACCCACCCUUAAUUUAGAUUGUAUUUUCACUAAGUUUGAUUUUAUCUUGUUUUUAAGAUUGUUUUUGGGUCUUAAUAGGUGUGCCAAGGGGCCCACCUUUGUUUGUUGUCCCCCCGAGUCCAAGCCCUUCAUCUCUCUCUCUCGGUCUCUCUUUCCCUCCCUCACUCUCUCUUCCUUUUUCCUCUUUUUCCCUCGAGGCUCUCUCUCUCUAUUCUCUCCUCUUCCCGUCGAAUACGCACACACACUCAGUCACCAACCACAACCCGUACCACCUGAGCGUGGUGACGUUGAAAUCAGGACCUGAAGGAGUGAUACUCCAACAGUGGCAGUGCCACUGUGCAUCUUCGUCCCUAAACAAACUCCGGCGAGUUUGAUAUGGGUAAGCUCCGAUAACACUCUAAACCUCCCCUUUUUUAUCCUCAUAAUUCAUUUCUGAUUGUAUCUAUGUGUUUUGGUCGUCGAAACUAGGAAGAAACACAUCGGGGAGACUUCCCCGGAUUCCUGGGAGGAAUCCGUCACUUUCGAGGCACUUUUUGGCCAAACCAUGGUGAGUUGGCCGGCGUAAAAGGUAUCAAUCUCUUCGUCACUGAGUACUACAACUUUCCUUUUUGUUUCACCCAAUUUCGUUGAGUAUUGAAGACGUUAUAUCCAUUUGAAUCUUACCCAAUUUCCGGCGACCUCAGUGGUUUCGAGGAGUUUUCUGGCCAAACAACGGUGAGUUAGACGUCAUGUGAGGUACCAUUCUCUUCCUCUCUUUGAGAACUACAACUUUUGUUUUUGAAUCACUCAAUUUCGUUGAGUUUUGAUAAAGUUAUGGUCGUUUAAAGUUGGUGUGGAUUUCUGGCCGAAUUUUGGCCUUCUUCAUCCUUGGGUCCGGUGACCCACCAAACCCAGGCCCUUUGGGCCUUUCUUGCCGAGCCCAACCCAAAACCCAUUUCAGUUUUAUUAUUUAUUUUAUUAAUUGUUUUAAGUUAAAGGCCUUGGGGCCAAAUUAGCUAAGGCCCUAAACCUUUUUAUCUAGAAACCCAAAACCUUUAGGCCUAAGGCCUUCGGGCCUUUUGAACCAGGGCCCUAAGCCCUCUCCUCUAAACCUAGCCCACCUAAUUAGCUAAACCCAAACCUUUUAUGUGGAAUAUUCUAAGGAUAUUUUGUUGACAUUUCACGAAAUUUAUCCAAGACCCUUCUUAGGGUAAUUCGACGUUCUAAAUCCGUUUCCAAUGUCCGUUUUCCCAAAUUCAAUUUCUAUUAUAAAGUUUUAUUAAUUUGGCCCUUUAUGUGCUUAGGGGCAAUUAUAGUGGCAUUUCUGUCUUCGCUAGUUGCGUGGCUCUUCGGCGGCGAAGUACUGUGAGUGGACCCCUUCUAAAAAUGCAUGUUUUAAUUAUAGAAAUGCAUACAUGAAAAGCAUGAUUUGAUGAUUACGUUUUAUGAAACGUUUUGUGAGAUAACAUGUUUAUUGAAGUUAUUUGAAUUAUUACUAUUUUUCCUAUAACCCAUGUUCUUAUAGAAUAUCCGAUGGAUGACGAUAUGAUAUUUAGAACAUGUUUCGAACACCUCUUUAUGGUAUAGAUGAUGGAUGACUUUAUACUAUGAAGUUGGUUUUCAAUAUAUAUAUGUUCAAUGGUUUUGUAUUUACCUAGUGGUCCUUUCCGCUACAGGACGAAGGGAUAGAUUCAGGUCCGUCCUGAGUGACGGUUUGGUGUUGGCAUAUGGCAUGGAGUGUGUUUGCUCUGGCUAUUUAGCACAGGGACGGGGAGCCAGCAUGGGGCCUGAAGUGUAUUUUCCUCUGACUGUCUGCUCAGAGACGGGGAGCCGGCAUGGAGCCUGAGAGUUAUCGGACAAUUCACUAGUGAUUAUUAUAUAUACAAGUUAUGGUUUGAGACUUUCACGGCAUGCUAGGUUUCGGAAAACUUAUGUCUAUCAUGAUAUAUAUGUGUUUUAUAAAACCUAGGGGUUAGUAUGUUGAUAACUGUUUUAUUUUAUAUAUAUAUAUAUAUAUAUAUAUAUAUAUCAACUUGGUCCACUCAUGUUUGUUUUGCGCCCCCUUCAGGAUUUAGAAUCGAGGUAUACAAUCCCGACGUCCAGGCAUUUCCGCAUCGGCAUCUUCGAGUCCUCUCGGUGUAGGAUCCAUCCUUUGUUUCAUUCAAUUUUAUAUUAUUUCUUUUAGUGUUAUAGUUAGUUGUAUGCUCUGAACAUGUUCCUUAAAGGCACAUUAUUCAUUCUCUUAUAUUUACAAGUCUAAGUGAACCUUUAGAUGGUUUUGGUUCUAUCAUACUUUCGUUGUAAUAUUUUAAAUUUUUUUUUUAAUUCUAUUCACGUCCUAAUUCGAUUAUCAUUCUUAUUUUCGAAUUUGGGGUGUGACAAGUAGUGAUUGCCUCAGUUUAUUGUUGGUUUUGGUUAUGGUUGCCUCAGUUUUUUGUUGGUUUCAGUUAUGGUUGGCUGGUUGUAUCGAUGCCUCGAUUAGUGGUUGCCUUGUUUUAUUAUUUGUUUCGGUUAUGGUUGCCUUGGUUGUAUCGAUGCCUUGAUUAGUGGUUGCAUUGGUUUAUUGUUGGUUUCGGUUAUGGUUGUCUCGGUUGUAUUGAUGCCUCGAUUAGUGGUUGUUUUGGUUUAUUGUUGGCUUCAGUUAUGAUUGCCUCAGUUGUAUUGAUGCCUCGAUUAGUUGUUGCCUCUGGUGAGAAUGAAUCUCACAUUGAUAGGGGGAGAAACUUUGCAAAGACUUAUAAGAGGUUGGGUUACUCCUUAUAAUGCCAAUUUGUUUUAUGGUAGAACCUCAACUUCUUCAUGGUAUCAGAGCAGGUUGUCACAUGUGUGAAGUCAAAUGCCCACACUCGCACAUGCGCUCCACGUCACCCUGUUGUAUUGUCCAUGUGUUAGGUUUGAAAAUUCACCACACAUGAGGGGGCAUGUUGUAAAUGAAUCUCACAUUGAUGGGAGAAGACACCUUGUAAAGGUUUCUAAAAGGUUGGGCUACUCCCUAUAUUACCAAUUGGUUUUAUGGUGGAACCUCAACUUCUUCAGCCUCGAUGCAUUGUUGGUUUCAAUUAUGGUUGACUCGGUUUAUUGUUCGUUUUGGUUAUUGUUGCCUCGGCUGUAUUGAUGCCUCAUCAUUAUUGCUUCAGUUAAUUGUUGCCUCACUUUAUUCUUGAAUAGUAUUGUUUCAUUGGUUUAUUGUUGCCUCAAAUUUUCAAGUGUGUUGUUACCUUGGUUCAUGAUUGCCUCACAGUUAUCUUAUGCAUUGCCUCAUUUUCCUUGUUGUUUGGAUAUCCCGACUCAUACUGUCAUAAUCAUUGGACGCAUUGUUACCCAUAGUCGACUUCGUAUAAAUUUUUGCCACUGAUAUUUGAUGACUAUUCAUGGUUGUCUUGAACUCUCAGUGUGCUGGUGUAUUGUCGUAUUGGUUAACUGUUGGCUCAAUAUAUAGUUCUCAUCACUCAAACUUUCGACGGUUAUUUGAUGUUUUGAUACAUGUUUGUCUCGGUUUUUUUUUAUUUCUUGAAUAAUAGUUGCCCUAAGUUUAUUCCUGGUUACACUUUUACAUAUUAGGCCACUAACAUUUCAUACAUAUUUCAAUUUGUUUUAAGGCAUGGAUACUAUGGAUUCAAGAUAAACCACUAGAACUGAUCGAUAAGACGUUUUGUGAUUCGUGCAACAUAUCUGAAGUGAUAAGGUGUCUUCAUGUGCGGCUGUUAUGUGUGCAAAGAGUACCUGAGGAUAGACCAAGCAUGUCAUCUGUGGUUCUGAUGUUGAGCAGUGAUGUUGCCUUGCCACCUCCAAAGCAGCAUGGUUUCUACACUGAACGAAGUGUCCCUGAAUCACCAUCAAGGACGCUUCUAUGUUCAGAGAAUACUUUCAGCACUACGUUGAUAGAACCUCGGUAGAUCAUCAUUGCGGUGCUUGUUAUUCCUUCAAUCUACCAUCACAAAAUGUUUUUGGUAGGUUGACGUGAAGCUUAUAGCCUUGGCUGGGAAACAAUGAGACCUGCGACUGUAACUCUGCAAGAAAAAUAUUUAUGAUUACCAGUUUAUCAGUUCCUAAAUCAGAACAAAGAAAGGACUUGGGGUUGUUAGGUGGUUGAAGAAAUUUAAGUUAUAGCUAUAGUUGUGUUUAUUAUUUUUUGAUUUUAUUUUAUUAUUUCAUGAUAAGAUAAAAUUUAUUGAGAAGGAAAAUAGAUCCUGCACUUAGGUCUGGUUCGGGUAUUUGAUCAAGUCGCCGGAAUUAACACUCUAAGCCUGGUUCGAGAUAGGUGCUUGUCAUUUAAGUUUCUUUGGCAAUCCUCUAUUGGUAGAAAAACUUCAGUGCAGGCAUUUGGACCACGUGACCAUCUUCCCGCAAACACAAACAUCACACUAAAAUGAGGCAGCCGUACUGAAGUUUUUCUCCACCGUCUAUUUGAGCAUUGUCAACGCCUGUUCGGUCUGCCCAUUAUUCAAGCACCCACCAAUAACAACAUUCCAUGAAGCACCAUCCAAUUUAACAUCUAUCCUUCUCAUCCUACAAAUUAAAGUUACACCUUUUUUUUUUUUUUUUUUUUUUUUAUCUUUUGAAGCAAGCAAAAAAUGUAUUAAAAGGAAAACCCCCGAGAACAACUGAAGAGCAUGAAGAGCAAAUGAAGGAAUACGGGGUGAUCCCAAAUAUGACAAUCAGUAAUAAGAAGGCCUUGGUGAGCGAAGACAUCCACCACAAAGUUAGCCUCUCUAAAAAUAUGUUUCCAAUCAAUGCAAGCAAAUUUGGUCGCCAUCCACUUGAUAUCUUCAAUAAUAGGAACCAUAUUCCACAGCGUCGCACCCCGGUCCAACACUGACUGAAUGACCAACUUAGAGUCUCGUUCUACCAUAAUCUUUGUAUAGCCCUUCCUUUGAGCAUAAAGAAGGCCCUCUUUGAGAGCCCUAGCCUCCACUUUAGAAAUAGUGGCACCAUCAAUAUUUAAAGUUCCACCGCCGAUGAGCUGCCCAAUAUGAUUCCUUAAGACAAAUCCCGCCGCAGCCUUGUCCCCAGCCACUGAGCCAUCAAAAUUUAGCUUAACAUAUGUCACGCCCCGAACCCAACAUACGUCCAGGAUCGACGCGUGACGUUAUCCAGCAUCCGUAUAUCUAACAAAUCCCACCUCCGAUAUAUUUACAAGGCAUAACUCAAGAUCCAACUGCGUAAUAAUUUUUUUUUCGUAAGCUUUAUGACUGCAUCUAACCUCCUCGUUAGACUACCUACGUACCCUAAUCAGGGAUCAAACCAUUCGUAGUUCAUCAAUCACUACCCAUCUACAUUUACCAAUGUACAUUCCAGCCGAAAGAUAUAACAUUCCUCAAUCAAUCAUUAGAACUUGACAAGUAUGGAAGUACUAGAUUCAAGGCUACAUAACAAUCCAAUAUGACAAUCAAGGUUUCCAUUCCACCCAUCAUAUAAGUCACUAUGUUUCAACAUGAAACCUUAAUCCACCACAUGUAAUGUAUCCAAGAACCAACAAAGCACAAUAUUAUUCUCAAGCCAUUUCGAGUAACGAGACUAAUCAUAAUAAUAACAAUCAUAUCCCACAUCAUUCCGCAAUCGUUCUACUUAAUCAAUCCUAAAAUCAUAGAUGCAUGAUAUCUACAAUUACUAUGCUAUUCAAUCAAUAAGGUCCCAUAUCAAUUCACAAAUUUUAAUAAAGGAUCCCUACAUAAUUCCCCACCUGGAUUUCAAGUACUAACAUGAUAAGUCUAAUCUAUACACAAUGUCUACUGUGAACAAUUCAUAUUCACUCGACUCUAAGGUCAGACUACCUUUACGGAAAUGAGCAAGAGUAGGGAUUCUAUACCACUCAACAAAAUCCAACCAAAAUACUAAGCGACCUCUUGUAAUCUCUUCAGACUUGACAUAUGUACAAUCAGUGCCUACAACAUGGGAAUGGUAUUGGCAUCAAGAAUUCAGAUAAGCUACAAAGAUCAGGUGAGUGACAAUAAUACAAGGAUGUGAUAAUAAUGAUAAAGCCAACCAUUAAUAACAGUUUACAUCUCUUUAAUAUAAAUCAUUCAUAAAGAAUCAAUACCAAGCCUUUGCAACUCCGAAUGAGUCACCCAGACAUCCAACGGUUCGUCUGAAACAAAUCACAACAGCUCACAAUCAUAAUCUCAUACAACACAAUGAAAAGUAGGGUUAGGGUGACACAGUUCAGUCGAAGUCUACAUCUCCGAAGCUAUCUCAAUCCAAAAUUUAUAACCCCAAGGUGAACACGAUCCUAGACCAUCUCUCAACGGAAUCGCGAAGUAGAAGGGGUUCCGGACCACUCAACUAAACCGAGCAUAAGUCCAACAAAUAUAGCAAUGCUCAAAGAAGAAAACAUGAAACAAGUACUCAAAAUACAAAAGCUCAAUGAAACAAGAAAUGAAAUAAUGAUACGAUAUGUGAAAUAAGUCUCGAAGUAACAAACCCCAUGACAAUGGGUUCAUAGUCCACUCAUAACCCUCACAUUUCAUCACAUCAGGCCAAUCAUGCAAAUCAAAUCUCAUUUCAAAUAUGCACAUCAAAUUACUUUCCAUCGAACAAUUCAUCAAGCACUUCAAAUCACAUUUCAUAGAUAUCAUCCAUACACAAGUCAAAUCACGACUAAUAAACAUAGAUCAAUGACUAAUCACAUUUCAAUAGAUUCACAUUAUAUAAUCAAGUGAUAUCCACUCAAAAUAUAAUCGCCUAUCGAAUGUACCAAGUACAACUAAUCCUUAUCACCCCCAGAAUGCGUAAGGUCCCCAAUCGCGGAUAUACCAAGCGGGAUCAUAUAUACUUUCUCUUAAAACCAAUUCCCUUCUUUGAACAUAUUAACCUAAUCUGUGCAAGUAGUAUUGGCCUAUUGGGAAAUUAGAAAUCCAUGAGUGAAUCAUAAUUCUCAAACCAUUUAAAUCAAGUGUAUGUUAUGAACAGAUUAUCACUUUGAUUCAAAAGGAACUAUAAAUGGCAUAGUCAUUUCAACUUUUAUACCAAAGCAGCCCCUUUAGCUUUUGUGUAUAUAAUAGAUAAAAGCAAGCAUCUGCAUAAUACUAGUCUUGAAAAAAAAACGUGGCUAAUAUAUGACAUGCAAUUGACUCCACCCAAUUAAUUAUGUUAUACAAAUAUCCCUUUCAGGUAUUAUACCAAAAUAGGGUUUAGGCAGUUGUGUAUAAAACUAGCUUUGUAUCAUAUAUCAUAUAAAAAACUUGCACAUACAACAACUGCAUAUAAAACUAAUUUCCCAUAAUAGCAUCCAAUAAUGACCAUAAAAGAAAUUUAGAGUAUCAGAGAAUAAUUACCAAAGCUUUCCACCCAUUGGAUAACACAAAUGAAAUCAUGUUUAUUUCAUGAUUCAAACCCACCUUCUGAGACCCUCUUCUUUCUUUUCUCAUCCCUGCCUUCUCUGUUACCCUCUCUCCUUCCUUUCAGUUCUUGUUGUCCCGUGUCUCCACUUAUACAAUUGGAUUUAAGCUGGGGUGGUAGAGUUGGUUUAUACCAUAGGGAGAUGAGGUUCAUAGAUAGAGGAAAGCAAGAUGUCAUGGUGAUCAAUCGUGAGAUGAAUUUGAAAGAGGUGGUGGGAAGUGACGACCUCCUUCCCUCUCCAACCCCCUUCUAAAAAAAAUGAGAUACAGAGGGAGGAGAGGGUGCUCUAGAGUCUUCCCCCUUCUCUCUCUAAUUUUUUUUUGCCCAAUUCCACUUAUAAUAUCCGGUCCCUUUAAUCCCAAUAAAUGUUGGGCCUUUUAGCCAUAAGUUGAAAUUAAAAUAAUUCCCACAAUUUAUAGUUUCACAAUUUCAAACGUCUGUAACUAUACCGUUAUAACUCGGACUCGCAAACGCCCUUUGCCUAUGGGCUCGUGGCUUCGAGACUUAUUCGAAAACAUUACUUGUGACCUCAAAAGGUCAACGAAUUUUAAAUAAUUAUUUUCCAAACUUCACUCUUCGUAACUAGUUUAAUUAAAAUCUAAAUCCAAACGAUUUAAAAUAAAUUCUCUAGAAAUAAUAUAAAAUCUCAAUAGUACAAAUACGUAGAUUAUACCAAUGAAAUCCAGGAACGGGAUUUCACAACAUAACUUUGAUCCGGAGGGUGCCAUUUAAUAAUCCUGGAAAUAUCUUCAGUAUUUCUAUUUAAACCCUUACAAUUGGCUUUAAGAUAUCGCUUACCCAUGGACAUAGCUGACCCAUAGACAUAGCCAGCAAAAGUUACACCCUUUUUUGGUAUCUCUGUUCGAAAAAUACGCAGUUAGAAGUACAUUCCAGGACACGAAAUCUCGUUUAGACAUCAUAUCAAAUACCAACUGAGCUUGUUUAAUGCUCAGACAACUAGCAUAGAUAUUUACAAGGGCGCUGCUAACGAAAACAUUCUCUUCCAUUCCAUGUCUGACCACAAACCCAUGAAUCAGACUUCCCAAAUUCAAAUCUUUCAACUCCGAGCAAGCAGGUAGGAUUGAAGAAACUGUUACCACAUUGGGUCUCACUCCAUUCAACCCCAUCUCGUGAAAUGCCUCCAAACCUUGUCUAGGCAUCCCACAGUUAACAUAACAAGAACAAAAAGAGGUCCAAGAUACCACAUCUUUCACAGCCAUGGCAUCGAAAACCAGUCUCGCCAGAUCAACAUAUUUACAUUUUCCAAACAUAUCGACCAUUGCAUUGCCCAAAGAGACAUCCAAAUGAAACCCAAAUCCAAUUGCAUCAUCGUGAAGCUGUUUAGCAUUUCAAAUAUCACCAAGAGCAGCACACGCCUUAGCAACUGACAAAAGCAGAAGAUUAUCGGGCACAACGGGCCGAAAUCUGAGCGAAGCGUAAAGAUUUAUGGAUUCCUUGAGGAACCCAUGUCGUGUGUAGCCUGAUAUGAGCAUGGUCCACGCACGCAGGUCUUGUUCGGGAAUUUGAUCGAACAGGCGGCGUACACAUUGCAAAUCGCUGGAAUCACAGUAGAUUUUCAAGAAGCUAAGGCUCAGGCUCAGGUGAGGCGGGACGUUGGUGUGUAGUUUUGAAAGCAUGUCGUCUAUAUAUAUAAAGGGAGAGGGCCAGUUUCGUGAAACAUUUGAAAAUACCAAGAAAGCCCCUUUGUUUUCUUCAUAAUCCAAAUUCAGAAAAAUCGUAAAAUGAGGACAAAUUGAUAAAAACACCAUAACUGAACAGAAAACAAAUAAAUAAAAAAAAAUCUAUAACAGAUGUGCUUAACCAUUAACCCUCACAAACUGCUGGGCAGUUUAAAAACAGAAAUUACGAAAAGAAAAAAAGAAAAAAGAUAUCUUUACCAUAUAUGUAAAAAAGAAAUAUAAAAAAGGUUACAGUAGAUAGAAAAUAUAAAAAUAAAAAUAAAGCAAAUCCAAAAAAUAUUGGAAAGGAAAACAGAAAAUUAAAAAAAAGAAGAAAAACAACCCGCAUACCUCUCAAACUGCUAAGUAGAGUAAUGGGCAGUUUUCUCCCCCAAAGAUUUCCACGCUAUGAGUUUGGUGGGAGGUUGAAUACUAACCACCUGCAUACCACCAGUAUUUAGAGAUGAGUAAUCGGAAGGAGGCUAAUUUUGGUUUUCAGGAGUUUGCUGUGCGGUUUCAGUUCAUUCCAAACAAAAAAGGAUCGACAAACUCAGUGACAGAAAUUAGUAAAACAUUUGAGCUUUCAGAACAAAGGCAUGUCCGAAAAUCGAAAAAUUUCAUCGGCGUGAUGAUGGUGGCGGGCAGAGCAAAGGGCAAAUAAUAAGGAUUUUUGUCGAGAGGGUUAUCGCAUUGCGCUAAUGGUUUCUCUGAGUUCCGACCUCAAUGACCUUUUUUCUUUUCUUCAGUAAUCACUUACUGUACUAUACAUGCUAAUUAAAAAAAUUAUUUGUUUUUAUUCUUAGGAUAUUUACAAGAAUACUCACAAGAAAUGAAGAAGGAACUACCUAUUGAUAAGAUUCCAAAUAGACGUGUUUCUAUUUUUACACCUGGUUGGGAGAUAUCCGUUGGAGUAAAAACUACUGAUCUAAGCCAACUGAUUCUCAAAGAGUGGAAAAAAAAGAAGCAUGAGCAGUAUGUAUUCUAAAUUUUUUAUUAAAUUUGUUAUAAGAAAUCUAACAUUAUAUAUACUUUUAAUAUAUAGGUGGCGUAUGAAAAAGGCGGUAGAAGAAUUAAAACCUUCAACAACUCCUCACAUCAUACGCAUUUGGAAUAAAGUCCAAAAAAUUAGGUACAACACCAUUUCUUACCUAUUUACGUUUAAUUGCAUUCUCCAUAUCAUUCUACAAAUUAAUUAUCAAAUUUAAAAAAAAUUUAGAAAACAAUUUAUGGGUGCAGAAAAAAGAUUAAUAGUGAUCAAACAACUUUUCUAAAUACGGUAACUCUUCUCUUAUUUUCAUAUGAAUGUAUACUAUGAAUUCAAAUUGCAUUCAAUUUUCAAAUAGAAAUAAAAUUGCAUUUUUCUAUCAGUUUUACAAGCAUCACACCCGUCUCAAAGUACAAAGGUUGAAGUACAAGAUUAAGGUAACAUUUCUUACUAUUUAAUUUUGUAAACAUGAUUACAAUUAGUUACUUCAAACUUGACAAUUUAUUUAUCUUUCAGUAUUCUAAAAGUAACUGGAGUAAAAGUAUUGCUAUGGGAAAAUUAUCGAAGUUAAAGGUAUUUAGGUUAAAUUGCUUACAAUCUUUAUAUUUGGGAUUGUGCAUUAUAAUGCAUUAUUCACAUCUUAAUCAAUUAGACUUCUUAAUUUAUCAUCAUUGCUUGCAGAUUAACCAUGAAAAUCUAAAGCAUCAAGUGCAAGCAAACGGAUGGCAAGCAUGGCGGAAGGACGAAAAACUUGACAACUAGAUAUUCAAUAUUCGUGAAAUCAAGAAUGUCUUUAUUCGUGAAGUCAAGCAUUAACUAGAUAUUCAUUAUGUAAAACUAAAUUAUUGCUCCUAUCAGUUGUGUCCAUUCUUGAUUUGAUGAAAUCCACUUUAUUUAUUUUUCUUCGUAUUCCUACACAAACCCAAAAAAGAAAGAGAACGCAAUAUUUUUUUUUUUGACAAAAGAAAAGAUAACAUGGGGAAAAAAUAUAUGCAAUAACAGUAACUUGCAUAUUAAUAUCAAUACAGAGAAGAGCUACUUAAUGUUUUUAUCUACUCUUUUUUUAUUUACAUCUACUUACCAUUGUUCAUGAACUUUAGAUAGGAACUUGCAUCCAAAUAUCUCAUGUUGUUUGACAAUUGCAUGAAUAACAUUUAAAACAUUACUUUACGCAAAGUGAAAACAAAAAACUUGACAACAUUUUAGGACAUGCCUGAUAAAGAAAAAGUUCAUCUUUGCACAAUACAAUUAAAAUAUAUCUUGACAAUUACAAUGAAAAAGAAUAACACAAUACACUUUUAGGGCCGCGUAGCGCCCGUGAUGCAAAAAUGCCUCUCGCACGCACGCUAGUGCGUGCGGAGAGGCUAAUAUAUUGUUUAAAUGGCUUUUGCAUCUUGUAAUAUGCAGGGACAAGCUUCGAGUUUUGCAAGUGCUUUUGAAAAGCAGUUGAGAAGUACCGUUUCUUGGCGCCAGGGCAUGUAAUAGCGGACGAUGUGUCUAGGCUUGAAACGACAUGCCCCGUAUGUUUAUUAGCUUUAUUUUAGGCAUGGAACAUUCCACCUCGUUGCAUUUUAUUUUUGUUCUUUUUCUAUUUUGUAAGACUUUGUAAUGGCUAAAGCUUAAUGAACUUGAGAUUGGGAUGCUUUCCUUUUCGUCCUGCAAUAUUUGCAUCAUGAUUCGAAUAAUUUAUUUUUUAGUUUAUUUAUUUGAAAAUCAUCUUUAUAAAAAAUUAAUUAAAUAAAAAAUAGUUUGGUUGUCCAAUUAAUAUUGUUGACCACAGCAAAUGCCCUAGUAGUAAGGGAAUUACAGCAAAUGCCCUAGUAGUAAGGGAAUUACAGCAAAUGCCCUAGUAGUAAGGGUCAGGUGAGGCGGGAAGUUGGUGGGUAGCUUUGAAAGCAUGUGAUAUUAUUGUUUUAAUGGCUUUUGCAUCUUGGAAUCUGCAGGGAGCACUACAAGAAAAAUGGGCUAAGAACACAAUUCAUUUGUGCCCUUUUCAUUAUCAUUGAGCACAAAUACAUAUAUGUGCUUUUUAAAUAUCAAUGAGCACCAAAACCAUCUCAAAUGUGCCCUCUAAACAAAGGGCACAUUGGUUGGUGUCCUGCAUUUGUGCCCAUUAAAAUGUUUGCACCAAAAUUUGUGUCACUGUUUAUAAAUAUCAGUAAUCAUAAUUUUUUAUUAAUUUACGUACACACAUAAAUAAUUUUUGUGCCCUUUGAUUUAGUAUAUUUAAAUUAUUUAAUUUUAUACACAUAAGUAUCUUGUCUUACUUCAACAAUCUGAAGACAAAAUCUUAUUUUAAUAUAUUUUUAUUGAUCAAAACCCACCAUACACUCCCUUUCUUUGACUUUACUGUCUCAUCUCUCUCUCCGUCUCUCUCAUUUCUCUUUUCCUGUCUCCCAUCUUUCCUUCUCUUUUACUUUCCUUAUCUCUCUCUUUCAUCUCUGCUUCCCCAGAUUAAGUCCAACCACCCUAUAUAUAUUUUUAUAGAUGUAUGAUUUGGUUAUUCAUUUUUGUAUGAUUAUGUGGAACUCGUUGGAAAACAAAUAAGAUGGUGGGUAAUUUCGUCUUUUGUGGGGCUUUCGAGUUCAAGACACUUGGUGGUAAAUAUUAUAUUUUAUUUAAAUACACUGUCACAGUUUCAACCACGAGCUAUGGCCGUUGUCUAAUAUGAUGCAACCACGGAUUGUGCCCAUGAUAGAUUGAAAUCUAACACCACGUGACCACAAACAAUGCCCGUUAUAAAACAAUUCCCAAAAAUUUAAAAAAAAAAAUAUUCAAUAAAAAUUAUAAAUAUAUAAUAUUUAUAUACAAAUUGCAUAUUUACUGCAAUAUAAUGAUUACGUAAAAAACCACAUAUUCAAAAUACAAAUAUUACAAGUUGUACACUAAAACUAACAACAAAACCAAUGAGUUAUACUAAGUGCCAAAUAUACCUCUAAUAACAAAGACAUUGUUAAUUGAAGACUACACAUUUCUUUGAACACUUUCGAACAAAAGACUUGAGAGUGAAAUACUGCCUCUAAUGCUUGAGCUUCAGAAAUUGGUGCCUCUCUCUAUCCAUCUGUAUAGACAUAAGCAUAUGGAUGAAAAUAGUGAAUAGAUAAACAAAACUUGAAGCUAAAUUAACAAGUAAAAAUUUAAAUAGACGAAUCUCUAAUGGUGCACACAUGACGCCAAAAAAUUAAUCAAUAAAAACUUGAACAUUUAUACAGAACUAACCUCAACAAGAUUAUGUAGUGCAAAAUUAGCAUUGCAUUACAGAGAAUGGAUCAAAUGUAGCCAAGAACUUAAAUUACAAUCAUCAAAUUUCUAAGAUAUUCUUCCUAUCCGCUCCACCUCUAAAGCUAGCAUUUCUUCAUUGCUCCGUUCCAUCUCCCAAUUGACCGAAGUCACUAGCUCAUGAUCAAUCGCUUACACAUUCAGGUUAUCUUAUGCACAUAGACCAAACACAAUAUAUAAUUACUUGAUUAAAAAAAUGGAAGAAUUGAAAUUUAUAAACAUUAAAACAAUAAAAUAAAAAAGAUGAAGCUUAAUUACCCCAAGUGAAAAGCAACCCAUUUGAUGCAGCAGAGGCGGUGUGCUCCUGGUCGCAAGCAAUGUCCAACCACUGCCAAUUAGUCCUCGCCGUGCACCCAAAAAGCUCCAGAGAACUGCUUCGGGAUCCUCAACCACUGCUCCUUCCCAUUCCGACCGGUCUGCUCAAACUUGCAAUAUCCCCACACGUAAAUCGCCAUCUUCAUCGGAAUGCUCACCGGCCGGUUGCGACCCAGAAGCUCAUCAAUGUCAAUUUCCAUAAAUUCCCUUCACAUACUGAACCACAAAGUUGCAAGUCAACAAAUUUGACAAAAAAAUUAACAAAUCUUAAUCCAAUUGAAGGAGAAAGUUGGGAGCUUCACAAAAUGGGUUCUCUAUUUGGUUACCUGGGAAAUGGAAUAGUGGUGAACUGGGAAUUUGUCGGCAGCCAAACAGAGGAGAGAGAGAGAGAGAGAGAGAGAGAGAGUGGCGGAGAUACCUGAGGACUCAAAGUGGACGAGGAAGAAAACUGAAAAAUGGUUGUCGUUGGUGAAAUGUUAAGAGAGAGAGAGAGAGAGAGAUCUCCUGAGGACUCAAAGUGGACGAGGAAGAAAACUGAAAAAUGGUUGUUGUUGGUGAAAUGUUAAGAGAGAGAGAGAGAGAGAGAGAGAGAGGAGAGUGACAAAGGUCGGUUUAAUUUCUCACGAUUUGAGGAGGGGGAGUUUUGCAGUUACUAGCUGAUGGGAUGAGAUAAACCAAUAAAUGAAAUUUGAACCUCCUUUAUAUUUUGAAAAGCAUGUGGGAGUGUUGUGAAAUUUUCAAAUUUAAAAGAUGUUUGAAGUUUUACAAAAUUCUUGUCCCACCUCCUCUAGAUUUUUUAGUUAAGUGUGUGUGAUUCCAUCACAUAUUAUGUCUGUGAUAGAUAACAAAAAGACGAUGUGGAUGUUAAUAAUAUUAACCACAAGCAUUGUCCGUGAUGGUUUUAGUAUAUUUAUAACGUUCAAUUUUGCGCGUGGUCAUUUGCUGUUAUUUUACAACGAGCUAAGAUUUGUCUGUGAUAAAAAAAUUGUUAUUACUAUGUGCUUAUUAUGCCCAUGGUAAAUUUGUACUUUUUAUAACACGCUCAUAAAGUCCGUGGUAAAAUUGUCGUGGUUGAUGAACUAUUAUGUUGUAGCUUAUCGUAAUGAACGCGUUGUCACAAAUGGAUAUGAAUUCGAAGUUAAAACAAUAAGUUACGAAUUUUUAAAGUUAGAAGGCAAAAUGGUAAUUUUGGGACUGAGAGUAUUUUAGAAGCCAAAGGCUUCUCCCAUUUUACUUUCCCAGCAGGCAGCUGCACCACCCACGUGGGUCUUCACCCUUCCCAUGUAUAUAUAAUUAUUUGUUGAGUAUUAAUCCAACAGUCUUUUCGUCUCCCUCAUGGUUAUGUAUAUAAUUAUUUUAUUAAUUUUCUAAUGGGUUUUUGUGUCCCAUGGGACCCACCCACGUGCGUCUUCACCCUUCCCCGUGCUUCUACUCCUCUCUGCACGCCAUCACUCUUUCCGUCUCACUCAUUCACGCAAUCAUCUCUCUCUUUCUCUCUCGACUUCUUCAGACUUUUCUCUGUCAUCUCCCUCACCAUCUCUGUGUGCUCACUACACAAAAAAAUGCAGCAUCCAUCUCUAUCUAACUAGCCACUCCGAUGAACCUUGCCACCACCCAAACACUACACUGCCACCCUUGCUCUCUCACAAUCUUUCUAUCUCUCCCUCUCAGUUUCUUCCUUGACACAGAGAAGCACAUAAGCAAUGACGACAAUGGAGUUGGCAAUCUCCGGUGAGGCAACCACCAGCAUCACCUUCCUCUCCUCACUGGAGACUCCCCAUUACCUUUUGCUUUCUGGAAAUCGAAACCGAUGCGACGAAAUGACAAGCUCCAUUGUGGCUUGACUCCCCGGCGAGAUUUUCCGUCGAAUCCUGUAUGGGUGAGUCUCGAAAACACCUUAGUUAGGUUCUUUAAGUUGUUUAGAGACGUUUUUGUGCACUGCAUGCCUGAUUUGGUUAAGUUUGGAAGCAGUUUCAACUCAAGGGACAAAUUCCCCAGAUUUCCAGUGAGGGCUAUGAUUUUCAGGCUGAUUUUAGGCUAUCACCGGCCACCUAAUGGCCCUGAAGAAGGUAAAUUUUGAAUACUUACCUUUGUAGCUUUGUUUUAGCUUUGAAUUGUUGAAAAUGGUUGUGUUUUAGACCAAAAUAGACUUUGAAACCCCUGGCGUGGUUGCAGGUCGCAUUGUUGCUGCUUGUGGUACUGUUGUGGAUGGCACGUGGAGCACAGGCACCUCCACUGGAAGGAUGACUGCCUUUCAAGGAUGAAUAUACAUUUUCAAAUGUUUGUUUCAGAUUGUAGGGUAUUUCGAAUUUGUUAUUUUUAUUUUAUUUUUUUUUAAUUUAAUUGAUAGGGCACAAUUACAAAAAUUGUGGUAACAUGAAUCUGAAAUGGCAUCUGACACAAGUGUCAGAACAGGGCACAAUAAAAACCUUAUUUGUGCUCAACUCUUUGAGCACACAUAGCCUUAUCGUGCCCUCUAAUCAAUGGUGACGCCCAUAGAGGGCACAUACUUAAAUAUAGUAGUUGCAUUGUUGCUAUUGGUCUAUGGGCACAAUUGUUGGUGCUCUUUGGUCUUAAAUGGCACAUAUAAUUUAUUGUGUGCAGUGCCCAUAUUUUUUUGUAGUGGAGAAGCUUCUAGUUAGCAAGUGAUUUUGAAAAGCAGUUGAGAAGUACCGUUUCUUCGUGCCAGGACAGGUAAUAAGCGACAAUGACUCUCUGUAGGCAUGAAACGACAUGCUCCGUGUGUUUAUUAGCUUUAUUUCAGGCAGGGAACGAUAUUCCAUCCGAAUGCAUUUUAUAUUGAUUUGUUUGUUCUUUUCCUUUUUUGUAAGACUUUGUAAUAGCCAAAUAAAAAAUAGUUUGUUUUUUCGUUUACCUUGUUAAAAUUUCAGUGUAUAAUAAAUAUUAUAGUUCGUUUAUUUAUUAGAUAAUUGUUAAAUAACUAAACGAUCUUAGAGUUUGUUGAGUUUUAGCAAAUGAGAAAUGCCAAAAAUACUUUUAAAAGUGGAACUCUUCAUAGAAUUUAAAGAAAACUAAUGAAAAUAACUUGAAAAACCUCAUAUUUUUUAGACAAUGUUAUAUAAUAUUGGCAUGAGAAUUAAAAAGUGACUUAAAAAAUCAUUGCGCAACAUUGCAGGAUGAAAAAAGAGUGACUACUAUAGAAUAAAAAUUCAAAUACAAAGAUUGCCAGCAUUCAUUUUUAAAAAUUUGAACACGUUUCUCUUUGAGAUUUGAACGCGUAACCUCCCAAAUAAAAUGAAAACAAGAUGCAAUCAAAUAAUGAUUUGCAUAACCCUAUGGAUGGUCAUUUACUUAUGACACGUAAAAGUUUGACAUGUGUACAAAUAUAUUAUUUAUUUAUUUUCUCAAAUACAGACACAUUUUUUUUCAUUCAAUUACAAACACAUUUAAUGAAUAAACUUGGUACAAAAAGUUGGUUCCCUUCACCCAAUGAUUUGAUUUUCUCGCUAAUACUUGCCAUCAUAUUUGAGGUAGGUUUUAUUAGCUAAUGCUUGAAUUCCAUAUAAGAUUUGACAUGCUUGAUGGGUAUUUUGUUUCUUUUGAAGAUGAAAGUUUUGCUUUUGUUUGUCUCCCUUAAAAUUCGAGGACUAAAAAUUUAACGGUAAUUUCCGCUAACUGAUAUCAAGUGAAUUAUUGUUUCAUGACAGCUGGGAGAGAGGCAUUUAUCAUAUGAAUUUCUUUGGCAAUCCACCAUUGGACAAGUGAUCACUGUUAUUAUCAGCUGUCAAUUUAGUUGGGUCUUGGGUUAAUUAAGAUACCCAAGUCCUUUGAUUUUUCUUUGGGUCAAUGGUCCAUCUUCUCUGCAUGAUUUUUGUAUUAAUUUCUUUGGACAAAGUGUACAAUCUCAGAACAACCAUGCAAUCAUGCAAAGCCUUGAGAAGCUUUUUUAUGUGCUUGUUCUUCUUAUUCUCCCUUCUAAGAAUCUCAGCUGCAACUGCACUGGGCACAAUCACUCCGAGUCAAUAUAUAAGAGAUGGUGAAACUCUGGUUUCAGUAGGUGGAAGCUAUGAACUGGGAUUCUUCAGCCCUGGUAAAUCAAAAAGCCGGUACUUGGGAAUAUGGUACAAUUUUUCUACUGAUGCAAUUGUGUGGGUAGCCAACAGAGAAACACCACUUGGUGAUUAUUCGGGACUUCUGAAGCUCACCAAGCAAGGAGUUCUGGUCCUCCUCAAUAGCUCAAACAGCAUUGUGUGGUCAUCGAAGGCUUCAAGAAUCGUGGGGAAUCCAGUGUCGCAACUCUUGGAUUCUGGAAAUCUUGUGGUGCAAGAUGCAAACGAAACUAACCCGGAUGACUUCUUGUGGCAGAGUUUUGAUUAUCCUUGUGACACACACCUACCGAAAAUGAAGAUUGGUUGGGACUUGGUUACUGGUUUAGAUAGAUCUCUCUCGUCUUGGAAGAGCACAGAAGAUCCUGCUCCAGGAGAGUUUUUGAUACGAAUGGAUUAUCGUGGCUUACCACAACUUCUUCUUAUGAAAGGAGCUAAGAUACUGGCUAGACCAGGGUCAUGGAAUGGCCUUUAUUUGACAGGACUAGGAUAUCGUUUUAGAGAACCAAAUCCAAUAUCUGCUUUUGAAUUUGUGUUGAACAAGGACGAGGUCUAUUUUCAGUACAGCCUCCGAAGCACGUCAGUGUUCUCGAGAACUGUAUUGAGCCCAUCAGGGGUCGUAGAGCAGUUCACAUGGGUGCACCAAAAACAGAGUUGGGAUCUUCCCGUUACAUUCCUAGCAGAUCGGUGUCAAAGUUAUGCCUUGUGCGGUCCAUUUUCUAGUUGCAGUAUCAAUAACUUUACACUCCGAUAUGUGCAUGCUUUAAGGGAUUUGUACCAAAAUCUUUGAAAGAUUGGAAUUCGGGAUAUUGGUCUGAUGGAUGUGUUCGAAGGACUCCGUUGGCCUGCAGCGAUGGAGAUGGCUUCAUAAAGUACAGUGGGAUGAAAUUGCCAGACACAUCAACCUCGUGGUUUGAUAAAAGCACGAGCCUUAAGGAAUGCAAGGGAUUAUGUUUGGGAAACUGCUCAUGUACUGCGUGUGCAAAUCUGGACAUCAGGGAGGGAGGAAGUGGCUGCGUGCUUUGGUUUGAUAACCUCACCGACAUAAAAGAAUUCACUCCCAACGGUGGUCAAGACCUCUAUAUACGGGUGGCAGCUUCAGAACUAGGUACGUCUUCGACCUUUAUCUGCAGUAUGCAAAGUAGGGUUUAAAUAAGUUAGUGUUAAAAUCACAGUUACUGCAACACGACGAGAUCACAUGAAAAGUCUGUUUUAAAACGGAGAUUUCAGAUCAUGCUAAGAAAAAGAGCAAUUUCAACAAGAGACGGCUACUAGCAAUUCUCCUCAGCUCUGCAGUUUUUCUCAUGGGAUUGCUUGUUGGAAUGAUAUUGUACGUACAGAAGAAGAAACUCAGAAAUGAAGGUAACUAUUUUCGGACACAUUAAAAAUGCAUUAGAUAAGGUAGUUAGUAUUUAACUAGCGAUGGUGCCCGCACGAUGCUGCGAGUUUUUAAACCAUAUAAAACAUAUCAAAAGUUCCACGUAUAUGUACGAUAUGCAAUAUUUAUGCAUGUGAUUCAUGUCUUCUUAACCAUUAACAAAACAAACUGAAAAAAUGAAAGUAAAAAACUACACUUAAGUAUAAAUCAAUGUAUUAAAAGCGUGAGGCGUGGGCGAGGCUUCCGAGGGAUAGCCUAGCCUAGCCUAGGCGUGAGGAGUGAGGCAAAGCCUCACGGGACCUAAAUUUUUUAAUAUAUACACUGAGUGUACACAUAUAUUAUAUUAAAAAAAGAUUAUUAAUCAAUAAUCACACUGAGUACACACAUAUAUAUACAUAUUAUAUAUAUAUAUAUGUAAUAGAGGAUGAAAAGCACAAUGAACACACAUAUAACAAUGCACGUAGACAGCACACACAUCCAUUAUAUAAAAAAAUAAAAAUCAGAAAAAUAAGGUGGAGAGGCGAUAAUGCAAGUAAGAGAUAUGAGGCAGUUAUGGGUUUGGGAGUUAAAAAAAAAAAAAAUCCCCUAAGGCGUGCCUAGGCAGCUCCGACGACGCCUUCCGCCCACUCCAGCAAAACAGUGGCGUUAGCCUUCGCGCACAGCCUCAAAGGCACCCUAGGCACGCCCUGAGGCUAGUUUUUUAAAACAUUGGUAUAAAUAUACAUGCGGUUUGCAAAUUCAUUUCUAAGUUCUACAACUGCCACUUAUUCCAAAACAACUACUUACUCAUCCUCUCCUUCCUCUUCCUCUCCCUUCAUAAUCCCUGUCAUUGUCUUUUUGGAUUUUGGCAGCUAAACAUGCUCAUUUUAAUAGUCUCUGCAUCCACAUCAUGAGGACCUUUUUGUACCUGAAGUUGCAGCACAAUAAUAUGAGAAAUCUUGCAAUACAACACUACCAAUUUUAAAGAUCAUAACAUGCAGAGAGACAGUGACAUGAUAAUCUUCCAAACAAACAAUGGGGUUUAAGGAAUGCAUUUCAGAAUACUACAUACCAAAAAUGUUGAUUCCAAGUUGAGCAUAUAGAGAGAAGAAGCUAUCCACAAAGUGUUAACCACCACGUGAUAUUGAAAGAUGGUUUUGACGUAUUGGGUGAUCCAGUAACUAUGCAAGUUAGAAUAAUCUAAGUUUAAAUCCCUAUUAGCACUAAAGCAUUAUCUUUCUGUAUAACUCAUGACUCAAGCUAAUAAAUUUAACAACUACUCUCAGCUCUAAAUCUUAAGAAUAAUCAGAAAUCCAACAACCUUAAAGAUAUUUGACCCUCCCCACAACAUAGAAUUGACGGUUUCCAGACGCAGUAUCAAAUUUAAAAUAGUAUCGCACUAGUAAACCAUUGACUGAUGUACACACACAUAAAUGGGUGGGCUUGUGAGUGUGACAUAACAUUGAUCUAAGUAAACCUCAUAAACCAAAAUCAAAACCAGUAAACCAUUGCUCCAAUUUUCUCAAAACACAAAAAAUAUUCCUGUACUUUGCUCUCAUAAAACCCCACACUAAUCUCAUCUCAUUUAAAACUAUCCUAAUCAGAUAGCCUUAUUGAAAUUUAUUUGGAGAAAUUGAUCAAUUUUCGAAUGGGUGGCCUUAUGAGUGUGUGACAUAACAUUGACCUAAGAAAAAAACCAAAAUCAAAACUAAUUUAGAAAACACCAAAUCAUGUGGCACUGGAAAUGAUAACGAGGGGCAGGCAACCCAGCUCGAAAGGAAUAGGCCUUUACAUUCCUUUUCAAUUUCUUUACCAAAAUAAUUGCAAAUGCAUAUUAAAUAUUCAGCAGUAUUUAAAUCAUAGGUGUAUACGAAAUUCUAAUGAUCAUAACAAUAUAUCUUCGACCAAAACAAUACAUCAUUUCGUCUCAAAAAACAAUACAUUAUUGAUCAUAACAAAGGUUCUAAAUUCUAAUGAAAACUUAUAUCAAAAUUCGAAUUAAGCAGUAUACGUAUUAAACAAUAGCGACAGCACAACAUACAAAAAUGCUCUCAUAAAUGAAUUAAAGAAUUCUAGAUGUUGUGAUGCCUAACUUAGGAUAAGGUCUUGGCGUGGGACUAAUCAACUGAACAAAUGAUCAAUGUUUAGAGGCGCUUACAUGGAUCUCACAUCACAAAAAUUAGAGCAUGCACCAAAAUCCACAACAAAUAUCACAAAAAUUAGAGAAUGCCCCAAAAUUUGAGGCCUAAUUCUCUAUUUCACAGAGGAGAAAAACCAAAAAUAAGGGUAACACAAUCACAAUUCUCUGGUAAUAAAAAUUCAACAAUACAUUAACAAAAUUACUGUAACUGAAUAUACCUCAAAAAGCCAACGGCCCAAUUGCUCCCUCCAACGAUCCAAAUUUCUGAAAUUCACAAACACAGCAAAGCCAUUAGCAAUUUGACAUGCUUAGUACAAUCAAAAUUCACAGGAACAAACAAAGGAUUGAACAAACAAACUUUGCGAGCUAAUUAAAUAUUCACACACACUGUACUUACACACACUGCAUACACACACAAACUGAUUAUAGACACAAAGCACAACAUUCACACACACAAUCACAUAUACACUCACACGCACACCCGCACAUACUGAGUCAUACGUACACACACACAAUUCACACAUACACCGUCAUGAUAAACCACACUGCAUACGCUUACACACUCACACAUUCCCACAUACAAUCCAUGUGUAUUACUUUGCACACAAAAUCUUUAUCACACAUACACUAUGAUGAAAAACCAUUUUGCAGAUUUGACAUCCAUUAUAGCACAAAUUAGGGUUAUGUUCGUAUCUCUUCAAUACUAAUGUAUACAUUUCCACUUUAGCACAAUUUUGAAAUCCAUUCUAGCACGUUACAAAAACUAUUAUCAACAUUUGUGUAUUAAGAGAUAAACUAUAUUCUUAAUCUGGUAUCAAAAUGGUGUUAAUUUGGGUAAAAACAUUUGUGUAUCCUAUAGUUUUUUAGCAAAAAUUUACUAUCCAUUCAUUUGAGUAUUUGCAUUAUCUACAGGAAACACAGUACCUAACCAAUUUCAUCAUCAAAUUCAGCAAUGUAUACAUUUCCCUGGUGAUUUUAGUUUACACUAUUCUUAAUAUAACAUGGUUCUUUCUUUUUAAAGUACUUUGUAUUAAUUCUUUUGUGAACAAUUACUCAAUAGCAUCUGUCAAUACUUCAAACAAAGAAGGAAUCACUCGAUUUACCCUUCUAGAUUGCAUUUCAAGUUAUACACUAUACCUGAAUGAAUUUUCUAGAUUGCAUUUUCUAUAUGAAUUCUGUAUUUAGGUGGUAAACUGUUGGAUAUAACCAAGGUCCUAAUUCCUAAUCACCUUAAUUGAUCAAAGUGGCCAAGAAAAUCUUCUUGCAGUUUGUCUUUGAAAAAAUCCUACUUAGAGUAAAAAUGAACAGUAGUAAGUUAUAGCGAACCAGUAAAUUGAAAUCGACAUACAAAAAAACAAUUUGAUCACUGCACAUAUAACUCCAUAAAUUACUUACCACAUCAACCUUGAGAGGUCCAACAUAUCUAAAAGCCGCAAAAACGUUUCCACUCUAAUCACCUAAAAACACUGAAAAGCAGAGGAGAACAUAUAAAUUUCCUAUGGGUUAGCUUGAGUUGUUUCCAUAAGGUUUGGUGCUAUCCUAGCACAACAGAUUGCAUUUCAAGUUAUACACCAUACCUGAAUGAAUUUUCUAGAUUGCAUUUCCUAUAUGAAUUCUGUAUUUAGGCAGUAAACUGUUGGAUAUAACCAAGGUCCUAAUUCCUAAUCACUUUAAUUGAUCAAAGUGGCCAAGCAAAUCUUCUUGCAGUUUGUCUUUGAAAAAAUCCUACUUGGAGUAAAAAUAAAUAGUAGUAAGUUAUAGCAUAACCAGUAAAUUGAAUUUGACCUACAAAAAAACAAUUUGACCACUGCACAUAUAACUCCAUAAAUUACUUACCACAUCAACCUUGAGAGGUCCAACAUGUCUAAAAGUCGCAAAAACUUUUCCAUGUUCAGCUCUAAUCACCUACAAACACUGAAAAGCAGAGGAAAACAUAUAAAUUCAUUAAAAUUCUCUACCCACGGAUAAGUUAAAAAUCAAAAGCAUUGACCAUUCCAAGGAAAAGAGCAGCCAUUAUUAGAUCACCCAAUACAUUAAAAAUGCAUUUGAUAAGGUAGUAUUUAAUUUCGAUAGUGUAGCUAACUGUUCACAUCUUUUUAUCCAUGCUGAAUAAUCUUCUAAUCCAUGCUGAAGAAUCUUCUACUAUUUCAGGACUCAGAAGAAAGGAUUGCAGACAAGAAUACGUUGGAGAAGACAUGGAAGAGAUGGAGUUACCACUGUUCGAUUUGACCACCAUAGCUAAAGCCACUAACAACUUUUCAAGCUGCAACAAGUUGGGAGAAGGUGGCUUUGGACCUGUGUACAAGGUAACAUGAAUUCAUGCAACGAAAAUUAGCUAUAUUGCUAUAAAAAAAAUUUAAGCCUUUUUGAAAUGAUGGUCCACAGGGUACACUGAUAGGAGGAAAAGAAAUUGCAGUAAAGAGGCUUUCAAAGAAUUCCGGACAAGGAACGAGAGAGUUCAAAACUGAAGUUAUACUCAUAGCCAGACUUCAGCAUCGUAAUCUUGUUAAGCUUCUUGGUUGUUGCAUUCAAAAAGACGAAAAAAUUCUAAUAUAUGAAUUCAUGCCCAACAAAAGCUUGGACUUCUAUAUUUUUGGUAUGAUCUUCAUUUUCAACCUUAUUAUACUAGGAUUCAAUGUGGCAUCGAAAUAACAGGCUUAAAGUUUCUUCAGAUCAGGAGGGACAAAAAUUGCUUGAUUGGCCUAAGUGCUUCCACAUUAUCGGUGGAGUUGCCCGAGGGCUUCUUUAUCUUCACCAAGACUCUAGAUUAAGGAUUAUACAUCGAGAUCUGAAACCUAGCAAUAUUCUACUAGAUGAUAAUAUGAACCCGAAGAUUUCAGACUUCGGCCUGGCUAAAACAUUCGGCGGUGAACAAAGUCAUGCCAACACAAACAGAGUGGUUGGAACCUAGUAAGCAUGCUUAGACUUGUUCUGUGGUUAUAAUUUUCAUUGUUCUACUUUUGAAAUUCUUUCUCACUAGUCGCUACAUAUUGAUCUGGCAGUGGUUAUAUGUCUCCGGAAUAUGCAGCAGAUGGAAUUUUUUCGAUGAAAUCUGAUGUGUUUAGCUUUGGAGUCAUACUGCUCGAGAUGUUGAGUAGGAAGAAGAACAGGGGAUUUCUUCAUCCAGAUCAUGACCACAACCUUCUUGGACAUGUAAGUUUAACCAACGAGGUGAUGAUAUUUUACUUUAAAAAGAAUAGUGAAUUAGACGGUGCUCUUCGAAGCACGUCUUCUAAUGACAUGCAUUUGACAGUAUAGAAGGUCCGCAACAAAGCCCCUUUUACAUAUUAGCCCACUAACAUAUCAUACAUGUUUCAAUUUGUUUUAAGGCAUGGAUACGAUGGAUUCAAGAUAAACCACUAGAACUCAUCCAUAAGACAUUUUGUGAUUCGUGCAACAUAUCUGAAGUGGUAAGGUGUCUUCAUGUGGGGCUGCUAUGUGUGCAAAGAGUACCUGAGGAUAGACCAAGCAUGUCAUCUGUGGUUCUGAUGUUGAGCAGUGAUGUUGCCUUGCCGCCUCCAAAGCAGCCCGGUUUUUACACUGAAAAAAGCGUCCCUGAAUCAUCAUCAAGGACGCUUCUUUGUUCAAAGAAUACUUUUAGCACUACGUUGAUAGAACCUCGGUAGAUCAUCAUUGCAGUGCUUGUGAGUCCUUUAAUCUACCAUCAC